UUUUUUUUUUUUUUUUUUGCAAGAAAGACCGUUUCCAUGAAGAAUUUUGGAGCGUUGAUGCUGUAUUUUUUGGUGGAAUGAUAGGAAGGGCGCCCAGAAGAAGGUAAUAACAGUGCCAAUUGGAGAAGGGGAUGGAUCAAGAAGUAAAGGAGAGGUAUACCCACCCCCUGAUUCUUGGUCCUGGAGGAAGUAUGGGCAGAAGCCAAUUAAAGGGUCACCAUAUCCCAGGUAUAGAAUCCUCUCCUUUUAUACUGUAUACUACCCUUGAUUUUUGCACUUUGCUUCAGCAAAUCAAGAAAGCUAAAUGGUAGACAAAUGCCUUGAGAUUCUGCUUGUUUGUUCAUGGGGAUGCUGCAGCUAGCAAUGGUAGCAUAUAAUACAUACAUUAAAUUUGGAAUUAAACUUGAGAUGCUUUGAUUAUAGGUGUUAUAAAACAAUAUCCAUUGAGUAAAACUAGGCAAAAUUGAUCGAAUUUUAGUAUGGAACUUAGGAUAAUCUUGUAGCUGCCGGCCGGGCAUUUGUUGGAGUUGGAACGAAAUAAUCUUCUUGUCUAGUCUAGUAUCAAAUAUCAAUGCUGGAAAAGAUAUACAAAGGCGGCUCGGAGUUGUGGACUAAAAUAUGUGCAUUAAUUAAUUAAUGGAUGUAGUGGUUGGAGUUGCUUUACAUCUCUUUGGUUUUCCACUCUCUCAAAAGAAAUGUGUGGCUAACACGCCCUUAAGAGUUAAGAGCUAGCAAGCAAAUUCUGAUGAGAAUUUGCAAUUUGGAUUUGGGAGCAUUAGAGAGGGGGGGGCUACUUUUGAUUAGUGGGAGCCCACUCCAAACAUUUCACUUCUGAUGAUGCUUCUCUUGAUUUGUCUUUUCUUUAAUGUUUUCCUUUUUUUUCUUCUUUCUGGUUUUCUGGUUCCUGAAAAGUCAUCCUGUCCAAGAAGACGAAAAGAUUCAUUAUUGCAUCAUGUCAUCAAAGAUGACAGUUUCAAGUGCUAUCUAUCAAACAUAUAGAUGAAGCCAAGAAUUGAAGUGUUCCAAAAUCAGUUUAUCAGCAGAACUUAUUUACUCCAUUAGUAUAUAUAUAUAUACAUGAUUUUGGAACAACAAUGGGGACUGUCAAAAAAAUCAGCUUUAAUUGCAUCUUUAUAUAAUGGUAGGUAAGGAUUUGUCUUCUCGCAUGAUCAAUUUGGCAAAAAUUAGUGAACGGCCAUCUUUUCUGCACUUUUCUUUUUUGUUGCCCUGAUGCAAAAGGGUCCCAACCUUUAGAUAACGUUUAUCUUUUGGAGAUGUCUCAUCUAGUAGUAUAAAAUUUUAAGUGUGCAUGCUAUGCUGUUUUGUAGUAGUAUGGACAACGUUAAAUCUCCGUUUUGGUGAUUUUUUUUGUCAUCAUAAUAUUUGAUGUAGAAAAAAGUUGAGCUAAUAUUUUGCAUGUGUUGCAUGCCAGGGGAUAUUAUCGGUGCAGUAGCUCUAAAGGCUGUCCCGCAAGAAAACAAGUAGAGAGGAGCUGCCUCGACCCCACCAAGCUCCUCGUCACCUACUCUUGUGAGCACAACCACCCCAUCCCCACCACCACCACCAAACACCACCCCACCACCACUUCUGCCGCUGCCGCCGCCGCACCGAGUGCAACCGCGACCUCUACCUCCACAUCCACAUCAUCCACCGCCACCGGCAACGUUCCCGUGAAAUCUGCCGCGGAGGACGAAUAUGGGGUCUUCGCCAACCGGCCGGGCUUGGAAUCCGACGACAGCAGCAGCAGCAGCUUCAACGAGCUCGCCGGAGAAUUGGGUUGGUUCUCCAAUGUGGGGUCCACCAUGAUGGACAGCCCCAGCUUAGUGGGCCCCGCAUGGGUGGAUGCUGACGUGGCACUCAUGUUGCCCAUUGGGGAGGAGGACCAGUUUUUGUUUGGUGAUCUUGGGGAGCUGCCGGAAUGUUCGGUGGUUUUCCGGCGGCGGGGACUGGAGGGGACUCCGUGCUGCGCGGGUUCAGGAUAAGAAGGGUGUACAUUUUUUUCUCGUUGACUGAUCCAACGGCGAAUAACGCUGUUGACUAUCGAGUAUACAAAUAAUUGUAGGUGCACGUGUUGCGGCGUUGAUUGCGAAUUCCACCCCACAAGCCAACGGCUAACCUGCCAAUUGCCAUUUCAUGCUCCAAUUGCAAAUUUUUUUUGUUUUAAAAAAAAUUAUCAAAAAAAAAAAGACAAAAGGGAAAAAUGGGAAAUAGGAGUUUAUUUUACACCUUCAUUGCAAUUAAUUUUGCCCUGUUAUCUCUUUUUUUUUUUUUGGGGGUCGAGAUGUCAAGUGGGCUUUCUACAUUUUUUUUUUUUUGGGUACAUUACAUCUCUACGGGAGGAUGAUAAUCUAACGGCACUAAGUUAUAGUCGAAUCCUAGUUACCUUGAGAUUAUGGGAAUUUUGAGGUGAAGAAGAUGUUCUUUUGGAUCUGUUGGACGAAACUCGUCAUGAUCAAUGACACAAUCAAUGUCAACAACCAAUGGUGCUAGUGUCAUUUUUUUAGUGUAUCAUAUUUAGUACUCGAUCGUGAAGAUGAUUAGAGUCAAACCACUCUAAGUUGGAGGUUGAAAAGGGGAGGAUGGAAACAUGGCUCAGCCGGUGGCUUCUUGCUUAGCUUUAAGAUAGGAACAUGUUUGAUACUUUUUUUUUUUCUUUUUCUUAUGGAAAAAUGUACAUAUUUUGAUUGUGCAAUUUCAGAGAAGUAUAAAGAUAACGAAUGAGUGAUUUCUGUUACUACUCUUCUUGGAUGAUUUCAUCCUCCCUGUCUACUUUUUGAGUUUUUGUUGGAUCAAGACAUUGGACUCUGGCUACGAUAGUCUGUCUAUCAAGACUCAAAAGGGGCAACAAAAUAAGUUACAUUUCAUGGUUUUUUUUAUCACUAAUACUCACCUCAAUGAUUUCAAUUGAUGAACACAUGUUGGUUGGUUCCCCCCUUUUGUUCCUCCAAGUCCAACCCAACUGCUGGUGCCUUGCUACCACAAAUAUCUACCUAUAACACUUGAAAGUCUUGAUGGCCAACAAUAUUUUGCUUGUCAGAUUCUGAGUACAAUUAUUUGAUGAGUCAUAAUGAGCUGGGAUCAAUAAUUGUUCAAAUAUAUAAAAUGUGAUUACCACAUAAUAUUCCCAUUAUCGACCAUGAUCCACAUGCUAGAGAGAGUUACCUCUCUCUGUGGGCAGUCAUUUGCCAGGCUAAACAGCUUUACAUACAAACCUAGUGGAGUUAGAGGCUAAAUAUCCAGAAUUAUGGCUGUCAUGGAAAUGUCAUAAUCCAGAACAUUAACCCAUAGUUGAGAGGCAAUCGAAAGUAAGGAAGACGUUUAUAAAAAAAAAAAAAAAAAAAAAAGCCAUCAAUAUGCAAUUUUCACUAGACAACCAUCCAAAGUUGAGGUUUCCAAAGCAAUAUUUCAGAAAAUAUCGAAGCAGGCUCUUCUCCAUAUUCUAAAAGGAAAGGACUAACCAAGUAACUAUACCCAUUCCUGAUCCUACCAAGUAAGAAUUUCAUGAAAAUACUGCUUAAGUAUUUCCAUGUAACUGUCAUCUUAUAUGAUCCCAGACAAAGAGGACAAUCAAAUGAACAAUAUUGCUGGUUGAACGAUGUAAUGUACAAGACUUGUGCAGCAAGAGCCAUUGUCCUUGAAGAUUUCCAUGCAAGCUCUAGCUUGAACAGCAUCCAAAUCUCUUCCAAGAAGAUCCCUCAUCUUUGAUAUCGAUUGUCUCGCCUUUAGGAGGAACAGAUGAAGUAGCGCCUUCAUCACUGGCCUCGACUGCCUUCCUACUCACAAUGUGGUAUAUUUGUGUCAGGACUUCAGCAAAUGCAUUUUCCACAUUGGUUGCUUCCAGUGCAGAUGUCUCCAUGAAAAAGAGGCUCUCCCUCUCUGCUAAAGCUUUACCAUCCUCAGUUGAAACUGCUACAAGAUGCCGAAGAUCGGAUUUGUUGCCAAUGAGCAUAACUACAACAUUAGGGUCAGUAUGAUCUCUCAAUUCCCUCAACCACCUCUCAACAUUCUCAAAGGUAGAACGUCUAGUGACAUCAUACACAAGUAAAGCACCAACAGCUCCUCUGUAGUAAGCACUGGUAAUGGCACGGUACCUACAGCGGGCAAAGGAAGCAUAUAUGAAUGCAGAAGUUAAAUGCUUUACAAUUUAUGUAUGCAAUUCCAACUACUUGUCAUAAUUCAGAAAUGAAUUACAGCUCAAGUACUUGAUUUCAGCUGUAGUUCAUGUGAGCUAGAUACUCCUUUAACUUCGGCAUUAAAAAAAGUUCACAAAAUUAGAUUUAAACAUGAAAGUUUGCAAGAAAUAAGAACAAACAGAAAAAACUGAUUAGAGGAUGCUAUAAAGAAAUGCUAAUAUGAUUAAAAUUUUCUUGGUGGAGAUAUGGUCUAAACAAAAGUGCAGAGAAAGUAUGCAUGCUAAAAAAUUACACACAACAUGCAUGUAAUAUCUGUAAUAUCUGUAAGGCAAAAGUCCAGGAGCAAGGCACUUGAGACAACCCCUUGGAAUGGAAACAUACAAAGACCAACCUGUGACCUUCAAGAUCAUAAAAUCACAAAAAAACAACAUUAGGCUUCUAUCAAGGUGGUCUAUGAAGGGUAAUGCAGGCAAAGAAACAGUUCAAGAAAAUAAGGAAACUCAACGUGUUUUCUCAAGCAGAUGAACACAACUUUAAAUGUGACUAAACAUUCUCGUCCAUAAGUUUUAAGCUCCUUAUCUAAAGAGCACUACACACUUUAAUAAACUGGAAAAGAAUGAAACUCGAUCUCAUCAUGGACCAGAUGUCAGAAUAAGAUUUAUGUUCCAUGGCCUAGGAAGCAUAUGAUGCUGCCACUGAGAAGUUGCACUCUGAGGCAUAUAACCCAAACAAGAUUCAGUACUCCAACAUUCACAAUAAACUACUCUAGUUUAGAUCUGGUGCAGAUUUUAAACAAGUACAUGAUAAUUCAAAACCUAACAAUCAUUAAAUUACAGGAAAAAGGUAUAAGCAAAUAAAUCAGCGCCCAAGGACAUGCACACCAAUGGUAAGACUACAUAUAUCUCAAUGUUUGCUCCUUUCAGCACCCUCAUAUUUCUCCACAAUUUGUUCACAAAGAGCAAAUUCACUUAAGCUUUUAGGCUAGCAUAUCGAAUGAAAAUGAGCUCCUUAGGGGAAAAAAUUGCAGCAUUCUAAAAUGUUUUACUUCACAUAAGGGACUCCUCUUUAGCAUUUUCGAGCAAUUAAUUACAUAACUUUACCAAUCACAGUGUUGUAAUAGUUGCUUUCACAUCAGAAUCUUAAAGCACCUCAAACAAUACCUCAUGUGAUGCCAAGGAUUUGGAAAUAGACAACACCGGUUACAUGAGACCUAAGUUAUGUCCUUGUCAAACAAAAUCAGGUACAUGAGAUAGCCAUAACUUUCCUAUCUUGUUCACUAAAUAUUUAUUCCUAACCAGACAAAUAUAUAACCAGAUACAAUGCUUCCUCCUUAUAUAUCCAGUCACAAUCACUCUUAGCUUCCUCCUUAUCAGAACCCCAGUAUGCUUAACUUUCUACAAACUUCAGGAUUGAGUGCAGAUGAUUUUGACUCCAAAAAAAAUUGGAGUCAAUGUUUAGCCAGUAUCACAAUUACACCAGUUCAAAUAAUGAUAAAAUUGUUAUUUGGGUAUGAUAUCCCAAGUUAUUGCCGAAUGAGAACCAAUUAACAUUAACAUACAUGAUGAAAUAAAACAAUAAAUUGGAGCCCAAAACACAUAAUGAAGGAUGCUAAGCAUAACUGCUCAGUGAAACACCCAUUCAUUGAGGAUUAGACAUCUGAUUCUAUCAUAAGAAUUCAGCCAAGUACCAAUGAAUAAACAAAAAUGUAACAAGAUGCCAAUUGAAAGAUUACGCUAUUCUCUUUCCAAAUGUACACAUAUGGCCUAAUUACAUUAUCCCCUUCCAACUUUAGUCCAAGACAUUUAACCCCUUCAACUGACAAAAAAGUGGUCCAAGUGAAGAAUUCAUCAUCUAGAGAUUACGCAAACCAUUGAGAGGAAUUGAUUUACCUCUCGAAAAUAUUGUUUUUCACUUUAACCCAUUUGACAGGUAACAUCAAUAAUUACAUGAGCAAAACAAACAACCCGCAAAAGUAUUCAAAAUACUUUCAAUUGAACAGUUUGCAGAAUUCUACACAUAUUACAAUUGUAAUGACACCUUGUUGAUGCAUUUCAUAUCCAUCUAGAUUAUCAAAUUCAUCAUCUAAGUCAUUUUCCAUCCACGUAAACUACGUGUAUGUUUUUACCUCUAGAAUUCCAAUGUAACGGAUCAAAACGCAACACAACCAGCAUAUAUGGACACAUUUAUACAACCCAUGACAUAGAAGGAUCACUGCAACUUCUCCCAAGGAUAUUAUUGUCCAAUGGCAACAAAUUUUCUUCGAUCAGUAGCAUCAAGUAUAAACACACUGCUAGGAUUAUGAGUCUAGGUAAAACUAGAAUCAUAAAGCAAGGUACCAAAGAAGGAGAAGUACAACGACAAGCAGUAUCUCUUAUGAUGUGGAUUUUGGAGAAUAAAAAGAACAGAAUUUCCCAGCCUUAUUAUAGACCGUAGUGAUCUGAACCUGCCUACCAAUAAGGAAAAGCUUGAAGAAUAGUUGUUCACACAACUUAACUCUUCCCAGAAGUACAGUUAAAUUAACACGUGGCAUGAAGUUUGGCAUAUCACAAAGCUAAGCUCUUUGUCCCAUGCUCAAGUUAAAAGUGUGUAGAAACCUAGGCCUGUUUUGAAGCAAGAAAUAAGUGCAUGGCUAAGAAUCAUCUCAAGUUAAAUUAUUGAAAACUCUCUAUCUUCUAACACUAAAAUGGACACACAUCACAGUACAUCCUGUUGCUACGUUUAACAUGCAGAGAAUUACUCUUUAAAGGAUAAUCACAAUGGACAAUAGGCAUGACUGUUUUAAAAUCAUAACUUUUUCUUUAGGAGCCAUAUGGUAGGUAAUCUAAAGGUCAUAUGGUAUGUAACCUAGGGACCAUAUGAUAGGUAAUCAUAAAACAAUUAACCAUAAAAGGGAUUGAUGAUCAAUUUAAAUCACAAACAAGUAGCAUGGACAUCGUACUAUUCACUUCCAAGCAAUGGAUAAUUGGUACCUUGUUUAUAGACUACACAGACCACUAAGAACUCUCCCUCCUUGACAAGCAAGGAGUCAUACUGAUUAAAGCAACAAGUGACAAUCACCAAGUCAAGACAAACCCAUCAAUUUCCAUUUACAAAAUAAUCGAGGAAAUACCAAAAAACAAAAGAAAACUCCUACAAAGAUUUUUUUUUUGGGGGGGGGAGGGGGGGGUGCAUGGAAACCAUAAUAAAGGUUUCUGGAAGACAUUAGCAACAAUCAUUACACAAUUGGCUGCACCAAUCUUCAAUCUUCCAAUACAAAAAUCAAAACACAAAUAUGAAAAUCAUCAAAAAAACCCAUGCAAUCAACUGGCUUACUGUUGCUCAACUUUCCAAUUCAUCAAAAAAAAAAAAAAAAAAGAAACUGGCUUACUGUUGCUCAACCUUUCAAUUCAUCAAAAAAAAAGGGAAAAAGAAAGACAGAAAGAAAGAAAAUCACACAACUCACAGGUAAAUCGAUCAAACACAUCUAAUAGCGCAUUAUUUUUAUGCUCACCAAGGCAUAUCCACAUCUAUACACAUGAAACUAAUAAUAGCACGGAAAUAAACCCCCAUGGCAUAAAAAGAUUCAGUUUUGAUAAAACCCCAAUAAAAUAGUAAGAGGGGUUGAAGAUUAGGCAACCUUUCUUGGCCAGCAGUGUCCCAAAUCUGAGCUUUGAUAACCUUGGAGUCUACGUUAAGACUUCUAGUAGCAAACUCCACACCAAUAGUGGACUUAGACUCGAGAUUAAACUCAUUCCUGGUGAAUCUUGAAAGCAGAUUGGAUUUGCCAACCCCUGAAUCACCUAUUAGCACUAGCUUGAACAGGUAAUCAUACUCAUCUUCAGCUCUGUAGCGUGCCAUAACUGAUAUAUCUGGCUCUCCUUUUCUUUCAGUAGGUGUUGUGUGUGUGAAUUUCUCUGUUCCACCAGUAUUGGUUAGUAGUGGUGGUGACGGAUGUUGGUUAGGCAGCUGAGUCUUUUUUGAAAAAGGAGGUUUGAAGUGGGAAGGAAAUGGUAGAGACUGUUGUCGGGGGAUUUGCCUAGAUUCCUGCUUCCAGAAUUGAAAGAAAUCAGCCAAUAUUAAUUUACAUCUUUACCCUUUAAUUUUAUAUCCUCAACAUUCAAUGAUUCAACAAAGAGUAAAUCCUUGGGCUCUCUCUCUCUCUCUCUCUCUCUUAAUGAUGAAUAUGUUUGGAUAACAGAUAUUUGGGAUAAUUUUUUUUUAAGAAAAUACUGUAUUAGUUGUUUGAUAUGAUGUCCGUAAAAUAAAAUAAUUAUUAAAAAAUAUGUUGAUGAUGCAAUCAAAUAAAUGGCUAUUUAAACAAAUUCAACAUUUUUUGUGUACACGAUUUUAGAUAUAUGCACCCUUUAUUUUCUUAAAACUAAUCUUCUAAUAGAAAAUUUCUUAAGAAAAAAGAGAAAUUACUAUUAGAAUUUUUGAGUUUGAUAGAUAUCUUUCUUUCUGUUUUAAUACAAUAUUUUACGACUGAUCCUACAUUAAGAGGAGAGGGGGGGAUAGAGAUGGAUCCAACUAAGCUAUUGUAAAUUCGGAAGGAUUUUUUUUUUUAGUACAACAUUUUUACAAUUGAUCCUACAUUAGAGGAAGAAGAGAGGGGAAAAGAAAUGGACCCAACUAAACCAUUGAAAUUUCAAAAAGGAAUUUUUUUUAUUGCAAUAUUUUUACAAUUGAUCGUAUAUUAAGGGAAGAGGGGAGAGGAAUGAAGAUGGAUUGAGCUAAACUAUUGAGAAUUUGGAAAAUCCUAAAUGGAAAAUGUAGGCAAUGAAUUUUGAAUUCGUUACCUAUACCAAGGAAGAACUUUCACUUCUUAGUUUUUUUUUUUUUUAUGUAUUCUUUAAGACUUUUUUCUUCUUUUCACUUUUGAAAUAUACUUUUGCAAGUUUAUAAGAAUUCAUAUUCCCAAUUCUGCCAAUUGACUCCUUGCUAAUUCCAUUGACUUAUUAAGUACAUGAAACCAUUUAACUUCAUGGGUGAUCAAUAGAAAAGUCAAACGCAAUUUGGAGUAAUUGUGUGUACUAGUAAAAUUGUAGGACACAAAAAGCACUAAUAUCAUGACUCUCCACUAAAUACAUUAGGAUCACUCUUUCAAAAAAAAAAAAAAAAAAAAAAAAAAGAACACUAGGAUCACCUAUGACACCAUGUAUUUCAAGAAAUCUCCAUUAUGUGUUUCUGAAAAUUGAAAGUAGAGCCUCAUGGAGAGUAACUUGUAUGCAUUUGGGAAAGAAUAAUUACGUAGCAACAAAAUUGUAAUAAUGUAGAACAACUCACUCUAUAGUGUGUGUGUGUGCAGAGAUCUCAUGUUUAUCAGUCUUGUUUUAGCUGUAUAUUUUAGAGAUAUGUGGUGGAUAUUAGUCUCAAACUCUAGCUCUGCUUUUGCUUUAAUAUAAUGUGAUGCUUUGCUUGUCAUAUUCUGGUUGAUAAAAGCCAAAUGCGUGAUAGCCAGAUAAGCCAUGCAUGCCUUUCUCUCUCUCUUUUUUUUUUUUUUUUUGUAGUGCUUAAUUCUUCGGUAAGCAGUUGCUAGUAUCGAAUUGCGUAGACACCAUUUUAAGAUGAGUCGUAACAAGUUGAUGCAGCUAAGCGGAGCCCAGUUGUUAAAUGCAAGCCAUGGAUGAGGUUAAAGUCCAUUAAUUCUCUGUGGACAAACUGGUGCAAUAUGCCCAAAAUAAGCACCGCAUUCACUGGCCCAAUUUGAUUGCAUUAGCUGCAGCAUGCAUGCAGUAUCCAGCUGUAGUUGUCUGUCUCACUUAAUAUAUCUCAAAUAAGGGUGCUGUCGAGUUGAGUUAUACCUGAGCUCGACUUGAUUCACACCCAAAUUCGAGUAUAUAUCCGUUCAAGACAUAUAGCUUGUGCUCGAGCUCGAUUCGAUAAGGUUCGAGUAGAUUAACUCGAAAGCUCGAUCUCUUACUUAGAAUUCAGAGACCCAAAAUUUUCAAAAUUCACAGCCUUUAUUUCACAAGAUUCAUUGCAUUUCAAAUGUAAAGAGCUGCACAGCAGACAGGAGCCCUCUGAAUUUGUUGGGGCUAUCAAGAUCUUUGGUCAAAGAUUACUACUAGUACUAAUUUGCUCUUGGCACCAUAGGUGGCUGAUCCUGCAAGUCCGGAAACCUGUCUUUGAAAAUGCGCCACGUGUCAAGCUGAGAUGGACAGCCAGCUGGCAAAGUUAAAUCAAAACACGCAUCCCAAGGGAUGGUUUCAAAAAACUUUCCAAGCUGUCGUCCGUACGCUCACAGGCCGAGGGUUGACCCAACAAAACAAACGCCGAGUCCACUUAAAUCAAAUGCCAAACGUGUCAUAUUGCCCAGCCCAAACGUGCAGCGCACGUGGUCAUUCACCGCGUGCUCCCCACAGCUGGCGUUUUAGUCCGGAAUUCUAAGUCGGCUGGCUAAACCUUAUCCUCCUCCUUUUUGGAGCUGUGAUAAAUCCACCCGGAUUUCAUCAAACCAGCUCUUAAUCUAAACUUAAUAAUAUCUUUUUGCAUAUAAUGACGUCUUUUUUUUUUGGCGUUUUGAGCAGCCAUCAUUUUCAAGAUUGAUGGCUGAGUAAUUGAAUACUCUAAUCUCUUCUACCCUACACAACGAAGAAAAUCUCCUAGCUGAUUAAUAUAUUGUAUGAUGAGACAAAUAAGGGGACAAUAAAUGAUAUUAAAGUUAGAAAAAUGAUUUAUUAAGUGACUUUAUAACGAUUUUUUAAUUUUUGACACGUGAACAUAUCGUAUUACAAUAGGGUGAAGUUUAACUCUUAAAAUUAAUGAUACAUAUAAUAAUUAUGGAAAAUAUUGAAUGAAUUAUUUAAUAGUAAUGCAAGUAUUAGAUUUUCAUCAUAAAAUAAAAUCCGUUAUGACUGCAAACAAAAUAGUAAGGGGAAUGACAAAAAUUCAUGCCCAUGGUAAGUUUUAGAGUGUAAUACACCAUUUGAGAAAAAAAAAAUUUGUCUGUAUUAUAAAUGCAUUUUUCGUUCACUUUUUUUAAUCAUCUUUUAUCAAAAUAUUUCAAUUAUGAACUUUAUUCCAUAAUGCACAUUUACAGUAAAACAGCAUUCACAAUAUUGAAACAAAUGUGAUCAAAAGUAUUUCUAUUGUAUAUUUUUUAGUUCUGCAGUGUGUACUAUAUUAUAUAUAUAUAUAUACACAUUUCAUGCAAAGUCCAUAAUUAUUUUCUAUAGUUCUUUGAAAUAGACCCAAAUUUGACCCCAAUACACCUCCAAAGAUCAAAGCUUUCUCCCCGAAAAGAUUCAAAAGAUUCACCUGAUUUAAUAACAGAGGUCAGUUUCGCUUCUCAAUUUCAGGAUGUCUUUCAUCCUUUUUCAAUUUGAGUUUUGCAAAUUUAGGGCUUUUGAUAAUUGGUUUUUCUCUUGUUCACGUUUUUCUCAGUUGGGCUUUGCUUAGAUCACUAAUUUAUUCAAUUACAGUAAACGGGUUUCUCUUUAAUUGGCUUGAUGUCUUGCUUUCUUCAUUUUCUACUGCAUUUGUUGAAUUUUUAGUUGUAAUUUAGUGUAGAUUGUUUCUGAAUUGAUUCUUUUAUGUGAAAAAGGUGUUCUUGGGCUCGUGCAGAUAAUUGAAAACUAUCAAUUUGAGGGGAAAAGAAGAAUUUUGAGUUGUGGGGUUUAGGUUGGCGACUUUUGUUCUGAAUUUUUUGGGGAGAUAAUACAGAACCUUGGAAAAAUGUUGUCAAGAUCGUAUACUAAUCUCUUAGAUUUGGCAUCCGGGAAUAUUCCGGUAAUGGGUAGAGAGAAGGAAAGGAGAAGGUUUCCUAGGGUCAUGACCGUGCCCGGAAGUAUAUGUGAGCUAGAUGAUGACCAGGCGCAUAGUGUUGCGUCGGAUAAUCCGUCUUCAAUAGCUGGUGAUAGGAUGAUAGUUGUGUCAAAUCAGUUGCCAUUGAAAGCUAAGCGAAGACCUGAUAAUAAAGGAUGGAGCUUUACUUGGAAUGAGGAUUCAUUGCUUCUGAGGCUUAAAGAUGGUUUGCCAGAAGAUAUGGAAGUGCAAUACGUUGGGUCACUGUGCGUUGAUGUUGAUCCAAUUGAACAAGAUGAUGUUGCCAAUUAUCUUUUGGAAAAAUUUAAAUGCGUGCCGACUUUUCUUCCGCCGAAUAUUGUGGAGAAGUAUUACAACGGUUUCUGCAAGAAGCAGUUGUGGCCGCUCUUUCACUACAUGCUGCCAUUUUCUGCUGAUAAUGGAGGGCGGUUUGAUCGUUCCAUGUGGGAAGCAUACGUGUCGGCCAACAAGAUAUUUUCGCAGAGAGUGAUUGAGGUGCUAAAUCCUGAGGAUGACUUUGUUUGGAUUCAUGAUUAUCAUUUAAUGGUGUUGCCCACUUUCUUGAGGAGGCGCUUUACUCGAUUGAGGAUGGGGUUCUUCCUCCACAGUCCAUUUCCUUCAUCAGAGAUAUACAGGACACUUCCUGUUAGAGAAGAGAUUCUUAAGGCUUUACUUAAUUGCGAUCUUAUUGGUUUUCAUACUUUUGACUAUGCCCGGCACUUCCUCUCUUGUUGUAGUCGCAUGAUGGGCUUGGAGUAUUUAUCAAAAAGGGGUUAUAUAGGGUUGGAUUACUUUGGUAGGACCGUUGGUAUUAAAAUCAUGCCCGUUGGAAUACAUAUGGGCCAUGUUGAAUCAGUGAUGAAACUUGCUGAUAAGGAGAUGAGGUAUGAAGAGCUGAAGAAGCAAUUUGAAGGGAAAACCGUGUUGCUUGGGGUCGAUGAUAUGGAUAUCUUCAAAGGCAUCAAUUUGAAAAUCCUAGCUAUGGAGAAUAUGCUCAAGCAACAUUCGAAAUGGCAAGGAAGGGCAGUGCUGCUUCAGAUUUUAAAUCCUGUUAGAGGAAGAGGGUUGGACUUGGAGCAAAUACAGGCUGAAAUACAGGAAAGCUGCAACAGGAUCAAUGAGAAAUUUGGAAAGCCUGGAUAUCAACCUGUUGUUCUAAUUGACAGGCCUGUGCCCAUCUCAGAGAGAAUGGCUUAUUACAGGAUUGCUGAGUGUGUUGUGGUAACUGCAGUAAGGGAUGGGAUGAACCUGACCCCAUAUGAAUACAUUGUUUGUAGACAGGGAAUACCUGGUGCAGAAGCAGGCUCAGAUUUGAGUGGAACCAAAAAGAGCAUGCUGGUUGUUUCAGAAUUCAUUGGGUGUUCUCCUUCCCUUAGCGGGGCAAUACGAGUCAACCCAUGGAAUGUUGAAGCAACUUCUGAGGCACUGAAUGAGGCUAUAUCAAUGUCUGACCAAGAGAAAGAACUGCGACAUGAGAAGCAUUAUCGUUAUGUAAGUACGCAUGAUGUGGCAUAUUGGGCAAGAAGCUUCCUGCAAGACUUGGAGAGGACAUGUGCUGAUCAUUUUAGGAAGAGAUCUUAUGGCAUAGGUUUGGGAUUCGGGUUCAGAGUUGUAGCUCUGGAUCCUAACUUUAGAAAGCUUUCAAUUGAUGAUAUUGUGUCAGCUUACACUAAGGCUCAGCAUAGGGCCAUAUUGUUGGACUAUGACGGGACUGUAAUGCCUCAAAAUUCCAUCAUCAAAACUCCAAACCCUGAAGUGCUCUCUAUCUUGAACACACUCUGUGGGGAUCCAAAUAAUGUGGUCUUCAUAGUCAGCGGAAGGGGGAGGGACAGCUUAAGCAGAUGGUUUGAGCCUUGCAAACAGCUGGGACUUGCAGCUGAACAUGGCUACUUCUUAAGGUUUGGUUUCCUAGAACGUGUUUUUCUGGUUUCAAAUUUUCAUUGACAUCUUUUAUGGCUUCAGAUGUUCCAGUGGUGCUGUCUUGUGUCCGGUUUGAUGCCUUGAAAUGGUUUUACACUGAAACUUCACAUAGUUAUCGUCUAUUUUUGCUAAUAAUAUAUAUAGAAGUAUUCUUCUGAUUGACGAUUUGUUGUUCUUUAUACUUGUCCUGGUAAGUAGGUUUACUGUUCACUCUCUUUGGGAAUCCAAUUGGAAGGCACUUAUGAAGUUAAUGAAGAAAUGUGGUCAAAAUUGAUUCUGAGGGGCUUCUGGUUUUAAGCUUUGUGUCUUUAGGGUUUAAUGGGGUUAGGUAAAUAGUUAGCCUACACAUUAAUUCGCAACCUGUACAGCUUCUCUAAUGAUGGGGUCAGUGGUUAACUAAAUACCCAGUAACUACUCAAGUAGUUUAUAGAGGACCUUCAUUUUGCUGGAGUAGUGAAUGUUUUAGCUUCAUUUCUUUUUCUCUCUUGACCAGAUAUUUUGUAAACGUUAAUGCUUAAGUUGGAAUGCAGUUAAGGAUACUUGGUGGUUUCUAGGAGCCCAUUAUCUAGAUAUGGGUGCUAAUGGAGCACUCCGGGUAAGGGUUUCUUGUGGAAAGAAAUUAAUUGGGAUUGGACAAUUUGGUACUGGAAAUGCUAUACACAGAACCAAUAAACAACACAAAAAAAAAAAAAAACAAAAAAGAACCAAUAAAAAAACCACGUUUCCUUUGUUGUUGUUUUGCUCUAUUACUAAUUCUGCAAAUUGGCAGGUGGUCACAACAUAAAGACUGGGAGACCUGUGGUCAGAAUUCUGAAUUUGGAUGGAUGCAAAUUGCUGAACCUGUAAUGAAAUCGUAUACUGAGGCAACAGAUGGUUCUUGCAUUGAGAAGAAAGAAAGUGCUUUGGUCUGGCAGUAUGGGGAUGCAGACCCAGACUUUGGGUAUUCUCAGGCAAAGGAGAUGUUGGAUCAUCUUGAGAGCGUUUUAGCAAAUGAGCCUGUUUCUGUAAAGAGUGGCCAGCAUAUCGUAGAAGUCAAGCCACAGGCAUGUAGUUUGCUUCUUGAUUUGCAUGUUAACUAUUUUAUUCUACUUUUAGUUCUUAUGUUUUGUCUACCUGUUUGAUUGUCUUCUGCAAGCAGACUGGCCUGAUUUUUAUUGUAGCUCAGCAGAAUUAUGAAUGAUAAUAAAUGAUGUUGAAGUCCUCAUGAAUUUAUAAAUGACAGUGAAGUCCCCAGCACUUAUAGUGUUGGCAUUAUAAGAGUUACUAAUAAUUUUAUAACUUUGCUUAUGCAGUCCCAUUCUUCAUGUACUAUAUGAAUCUAUAAAUGAAAAUGAAAUCCGCAGCCCUAUACACUCAUCAAGAUCUGUUUAACCAUUUGUAGUCACCCUUAGUGGGUUGUCUUUGUAUUGUGAGGUCAUUUAUUUUCUUGUUGUGUUGUUUCCCAGUAUGAUUACUUGGUUGCUGCACUUUCAUUUGGUUCUCUUUCCUUGUAACCUUCUUGGAAUGUUAAUCUCGUUGAGCAUAGAGUGCGGAAGGAAUUGGUGGAUACUAGCUUCAUAAUUUACCUGAUAGGUUGGGAAUCAUGUAGAUGCGGAGUAUGAUUUUCCUUUGAGUGCAGCUACAUCAUUUAGCAAUCUGGAGUUGAUUAUGUUUACUCGAUCAUUUUGCAAUGGAUUGUUUAUAUUAUUUUAUUGUAUUAAAUAGGGUUCCUUUUGCUUUCAUUUCUUCUGUGUCCAUUGCUUUUCAUUAACAUAUGCAUUGUGAUUCUAAUCUGAUAAUGGUUGGGAUAUGUUACACCUAAUUAGACUACUGGUUAUCUAAAACAACUGAUUGAUUUUGCCUCAUAGUUUGAGAAGUAAAUGUCUAAUAAACAAUUCAGCCAACUUGGUUACUGUGGGUCUCCAGCAGUAUAGUGCAACACUUACACAUUUGGCUUUGAAUUUUGAACAUCAUAAUUGGGAGUGUCUAAUCCUUGUGUUCUUUCAGGGGGUCAGCAAAGGCUCAGUUGCAGAAAGAAUAUUUACAUCCAUGGUGGAGAAAGGGAAACAGGCUGAUUUUGUGCUUUGCAUUGGUGAUGACAGAUCUGAUGAGGAUAUGUUUGAAAUUAUAGGCGCUGCAAUAUCAAGAAAUAUUCUUUCUUACAAAGCUGAAGUAUUUGCCUGCACAGUUGGACAAAAACCGAGUAAAGCGAAAUACUACUUGGAUGACCCAUCUGAGGUGAUAAACAUGCUUGACUCUCUUGCUGAUGCCACUCAUACUCCAGUUACCUCUGAAGAUGAAACAGAAGAUUCUUCCUGAAACAAAUCAUCAGGUUUCUUAUUGAUUUCUUCUACACAUGGAGUUCCUGAUUUGGUGGUGCAUGUAUGCUUAGAAGGGCAUUAGGUUUUAGAUUUAGGAAAUCAAGUCUAGUAGUCUUCCCUUUCUGCUUUGCGUUUAUUUACCUCUUGUCUCUAUUUCUUCAGUGCCUUCCAAGAUAGAUACCAAUCCAGUGAGGAGAAGGCAAAGUUUUGUUUGGUGCAGAAUUCUUUUUGGGGUGAAUCUAUUAGAAGUAGUUGGGAUCUUGGGAUGAAUUUAAUGACAGGAAGGUGUGAUUUUGUGAGGUUAGAUUUUAGUGCGAAACUGUGGACAGGAUUUUAAGCGUGUUCUUGGUGGUAAAUGACAAUAAUUGUGCAUUACUGAAUCUGGUAAUCAGAGAGAUUGAGGCUGUCGUAACUAACAUGGAUGAAGUUUGGCGCUAUUCCUCUUAAUUAAUGGAAGCAACAUAAUUUUGAAUUUCUGAAUAUUCCUUGGCAUCUUGUUGAGAAUAUAACAUGUUGUCUGCUUGAACUUCACAUGCCGUAGAUGAAAAGGAUCCUUUGGCACUUGUGAUACCAUUUGGGAGUUGAGGCUUGUUGCCCUCGUUGUAGACCUGAGAUUGUUUAUGGCCUCCAAAGGAGCAAAUUACCUAUGCAUGAAGGGUGACCUACUGAAUGAAGUCUGUCAAGGUCUGAAGCCAGAAAAUCAGUAUUAAAAUGUUAGAUCAAGGGAAUUUGUAUUUCUGCAUUUGUCCUGCUUGACUGGAGAAGAAGGCCGCAAUGUUCUUUUGGAUGGCAAUAUUUGUACUAAUGAAAGCAAUGUGGAUGCAAGAAUUAGAAUAAUCAUGACAAUAAUUCUGUUUGGCAGACAUAGUUCACCCUGGAUCUUAACUGUAGCAUUGGCUUGUCACCCUUUUGAAUUCUUUUCGAAAUAAACAUUGGUAUAUUGUUUAUACAUGUACAUAUUCUGGCAUGCUGUUGUCCUCUUGAAGUUGAACAUCCCAGUUCCAUAAAUCGGAUUGUUUGUUUUGUCAUAUCUAGUUAUUUAUGUUGGUCUUUCAGUUCCAUUGUUGUAUGAUCAAAAGGUUGUUUACUUAAAUUCUUUUUAGUGUACCGGAUUACAGGAGGAGUUUUGUACUUCGCUUAACAUAAAUGCUGUUUGCCCAGGGGAAAAAUGUUUGAUAUGCCGUGUAUUUUGCUGAACAUCGAAUACUGUACCACGCCUUUUCAUCUUUCUGUGCACCAGCAUUUUGCCUGUCAGAAGAUUCACACCACCUACUUUGGGACCCAAAGAAGGAAGAUAAUACACCUUGGCGGCCAACAUUUUGUCAUUGUUCAAGACUAGAGAUCUUCUUGUUUUUAAUCUGGUGAAAUGAGGACACUGUUGUGUUCGCUCUCCGACUUUGAAGUUUAAACAAUUUGCUGUCAAAGAGUUUAUCCUCGGAGUUUAAUACUAUCACUGAGAUAACAUUCUGCAUCUCGAUUAUGCAUGUGUGUGAUACGCAGUGAUUGUAAAGUCAGUCAUUACCCAAAAACAUCAUCAAUGUUCACAACAUGAUCUGCCAACGCAUGUAUGAAGUUGAAGCUGAUGUUUUAACUCCACUUCCAUUGCUCCUUCCAAGACAUUCACUACUGUGGACAUGCAAGGCCUUCUUGUAUGAUCAUCUUGCAGGCACCGAGCUGCGAUUCUUAUCAUCCUCUCCACUUCCUCUGCAUUAUUCUUCAUGUCCUGGUCAAAAUUUCUCACAAUGUCAAGUAACUUGUUUUCUUUAGACUUCCACUGCAAGAGAUUCAACGGAUGCGAGCAAGAUUCUGAGUGAUUAUCAACAUUUCUCCUUCCACUAAUUAUUUCAAGGAGGCCAAUCCCAAAACUGUAGAUAUCAACUUUUUCUGUCGUGAAUCGCCGUUCUGGAGCAAUGUAUCCUGGAUUUCCUUUGAUGGUUGUGACAACUUGGCUCUUGUCUCUGUCUAUGAGCUUAGACAGCCCGAAAUCAGAGACUUUGCCGUUGAAGUUUUCAUCCAGCAGGAGCUUUUGUGGUUUUACAUCAAGGUGGACGACUUUCUGGGAACAUUCUUCAUGUAAAUAAGCUAAUCCUUUUGCUACAUCAAUUGCUAUCCUCUUGCGGAUCUGCCAAUUCAGCUAACGCUCUGGAUCUCUGCUGAAAAUCCAUUUGUCCAGUGAUCCAUUAGGCACAUAUCCAUAUACCCGAAGCUGGUGAGAUUUGUCCUUGCAAUAUCCUAUCAAUUUCACGAGAUUGAAAUGAUGGAUGCUUCCAAUUGUUUUGACUUCAGCCAAGAAUCCCUUCAUAUCCAGACUUGGUUUCUCCAAAUGCUUAACAGCAACGGAGGUUCCAUCCUGUAACCUUCCCUUAAACACACUCCCAAAUCCUCCACCACCUAGCUUCUCCUCAAAAUUGCUUGGUGCCACACGGAGUUCCUCGUACGAAAACCUCAUAGGCAACCCUGGCAUUUGUAUGCUACUAUCUUUCUCUCCUUCUGGCUGUCUUGGAGGUUUUAUACUGUCUUCUACUUUUUCUUCCUUUCUUGAGAUCAACAUGUAGAUUGUGCCAAGCAAACAAUGAAAGUACAUGCACUUACAACUAUAACAGGAAUUCCCCUAAAGAUCACUGCAACAACAAAGGUGCCAACAAGAAAUGAAGAACACCAAUAUCAACGGGAGGCAAUACAAGUAACCUUUUUGCUGAAAGUGCUGAGGGCAGAAUUGAUGCUGGCAUGUUAUAACUUGUGGCACAGGGAGAGGAAGCAGGACUGGAAUUUUUACUAUUUUGCCUGACAAAAAUCUGAGAAUUUGUCUUCCCUUGAAAGAGGGAAUUAUACGUUCUUGCUAAGAAUGCAUAGCUGAAUAGUGAUUGUUUAUCAUACUAUAAAGCUUCCAACUAUCUGCCAUUUGGACUCAAAGUGAAUCGAGGUCAUCCUUGACUCUUUGUGUCUCUCUUACGUAUGCCCUUGUGUUGAUGACCAAGCAACUCUUCAAACAUCGACUAGUAAGUAAAGAUUUCUUCUUCCUUGUGGACCAGAUUGCAUGUCUUAACUGUAACCAAAAGUUUACAUCUUGAAGGACAAAUAAUUUGCAAUUUUCCAGUCAAUGCCGGUUCACACUAGAAAUUGGAAAUUUUCAGAAAUUUCGUUGUCAGUGGCAAGAGGCAACCAAUAGAUUACCUAGAGAGAGAGUAAACAUGAACUUGGAGAAGUCAUGCCUUUCGUUGUUAGUGAAACCAUGAAAUAGCAAAGUGCUCAGGAUAUUCAUCCGUCUUCUUUAGCCUUUCGUCGGAUUCGUUCAGGGAGGGAAGACCUUUUUUUUUUUUUUCAUUUUUUUGUGGGUUUAAGAAAAAGCUGUUCAUUCAGGGGACCCAUUUGACAUGAGGGGAGAUUGAUGAGAGGCUUUGUCACUCAUAUCUCAAUCAUUUACCUGCACAAGGAAAAAUAUGAACUGAAGUCUUCCACAUUGAUCAAAGUUGAUUCACAGAAUUUUCCACAAAAAUGAAUGAAUUAAGAUUGUUGACUUUUUUAUUGUAGGAAUAUUGCUACAUUCAGAGAAGAAAAAAGGCUUCAUGGUAACUAAAACCCACAAAACUUUCGAUUUUUCUAAUGUAAGUUGUAAUAAUAUGGUUACUGUCCGAGAAGAAAAAUGAUGAUGAUGGAAGUAACCGCUAACUAGUAAGAAUGAAAAAAGGUUACACCUGUUCCCCUCACCAAUAAUCUCCACAAGAACAAUAUCCAUUUUUGAAAUGAUGAAACCUACUAUUAUCUCGCACAAUAAUUUCCCGGUUUUUGACCUUCGAUAUGUACUUGAUAGCAACAUGACAAUCGCUGCAUACACGCAAAUUCUUCAUCACUCUGAUCGGAAAACCCUUUGGAGUGUUCAUCAGAGCAAAAGCAAUUGCCAGCUUCUCACUGUGGUGCACUAGGUUGUACUCCUUUUCCUCCACAUCCAUGUCAUGCAACACUGAGCCAAUAUCAGGCACAUAACCUUCUAUUCUUAUUUCUUCCAUCAGUUCAUUCAAGUAAUUCUCAAUCUCCUGUGCCAGCGGAUGAGAUUUAUCACCCAUAAUGAACUGAUAAAUCUGGUUCUUUAUCUCCAACCAGCUUAUGCCUGGCUCCUUCUUCACAUUUUGAUCUCUCAUUGCUUUUCGCAACUCUGAAACAUCCUUCCAUCUUCUGGUAGAGGCCUGAAUAUUUGCAAGGAGAACAUAGGCGGAAGAAUCUCGAGGAUCAAUUUUCAAAACUUCUUCACCUAUCCUUUUAGCCAUAUCUGAAUCUUUAUGAAUCUUACAGGCUGAUAACAAAGUCUUCCAUAUAACAGCAUCUGCCUUGAUUGGCAUUGAUCUAAUAUAGCCUUCUGCCUCGUCUAAACAGCCUGAUCUACCAAGUAGAUCCACAACACAUGUAUAAUGCUCUAAUUGAGGCUCCAGUCCAUACUUUUCCACCAUCACCUUGAAUAACUCAAGUCCCUUUUCUUUCAUUCCGCAAUGACUACAAGCAUAUAGUAAACUCAAGAAAGUGACAUCAUUCGGCUCCAAACCUUCGUGCUCCAUCCUAUCAAACAAUUCCACAGCUUCCUUUCCUCUUCCGUGAAAUCCAUAAGCAGCAAUUAUAGAACUCCACAAAACAAGAUCAGCUCCCUCUCUUUCCUCAAAAACCUUCACAGCAUCAUCCAAACAACCACUUCGUGAGUACAUGCUAACUAAUGAACUAAUAACAGGAACGACAGAAAGGGCGCCAACCUUGAUGACAUCAGCAUGAAUCUGCUGGCCCUGCCCAAGUGUGGCCAGCUCAGAACAUGAACUGAUCACGCUCACAAAUGUGAUCUUAUCCGGCCUAAACCCAGACAUUCUCAUUAUGUUGUAAAUAUCCAAGGCACCCUCUGAACACCCAUUUUGGGACCUCCCUGCAAUAAGUGUAUUGAGAACAGCCACACUAUGCAUCGGCAUCAAUCUAAUAACUUUCUCCCCUUCCUUUAAGCUCCCUGAUCUCAUAUACAUAUGACCUAACGAACUUCCAACAAUCAAAUUCAUCUCGAAACCUGACUUAACCACAUAUCCAUGAACUUGCUUUCCCUUAUUCAAGUCCUUCAACCCAGCACACCCUCUCAAAACACUCCCAAGAGUGAAUACAUCAGGUAAAAAUCCCAACUUGUGCAUUCUGGAAAACAAACUCAACCCAUCUUCGUUAAACUCGAACUGGACCGUACCAACGAUCAUCGCAUUCCAAGUGGCUAAAUUCCUAUCACCCAUUUCAUCAAACAGCUUAAACGCACUAUCCAAAUCACCAUGCUGAAUGAACCCUCCAAUUAAAAUGUUAAACGACAUAGUAUUUCUGUUGGGCAUUUUUUCGAACAGUGAGACUGCGGCGUCCAAACGGCCUAAUUUGGAGUACGCAUUGAGGAGAUGGUUGACUACAAACUUUUCCUUGAAGCAGCCAGCUGUCAAGAUGAGAGAAUGGAGUUGCUUGGCAAGGGAGAAAGAUUGGGUUUGGAUGCAUGCUUUUAGGAGGUCAGAAAAGAGAGGUGGAUAUGACCAUAUCAAAGAAGUGAAGUUGGUGAAGGCUUCGUCAAUAUGGCCUCUUGAGCAGAGGUUUUUGAACUCUGCUGUUAAUGAUUUUGUGCUGAAAGAAUGGGAGGUAAAAUUAUGGAGGGGAAGGCGAAUUGUUGAAGUCAAAAGGCCCAUGCAUUUGUGUUGGUUCAUAGGAUUGUCCAACACCCAAGCAGACUGGCUGCAUGAGGCAGCGUCACUGGAUGCAAGUUUUUCUCCCUUGUUAGUACAAGCAACUGGUUCCCAAAGCAAAUGAGCAAAUUACUUUUGGAUCCAAUACCUAAUUGUUUGUGGCAGGUUACUUUCGUGUACAUGCAAGACAACUCCUAAACAUUAUUAAACUAUUGGAUCAAAUUAUGUUUAUACUUUACUGUUAAUGCAGAGUAAUCUUUUAAACGUUACUUUUAAAAAAUUUGCGUUAAUUUUAACAUCGAGGUAUCAAUUAAGAAAGUGCCAGCAAAUUUACAUCCAACACUUUUGAGUCUAGAAUAAUUUUAACAAGAUACAAUUGGAUUGAAGCUUUAACAUAAUUCAACUAGAAUGAAGUUUUCAACUUAUGUAACUUGUAGUUAUAGACUCUGAGAUUUUCAAGAACCACAUGCCUGAUGAUGAGUUAAUAUUUGGACAUUAAAUGCAUCAUUUUCAGAGAAGCAGGUCAAAGAACAUGCAUGCUUUCACUUUCCUUUUAGAAGAGGUAUUGACCAUAAUUCAUGCUUCACAAGGGUAUGAUAUAUAUGUUGCUUAACCAUUUGCCAUCAGCACAUUGAUGUUAGGCCAAUACCCACAAGGAGAAGAUGAAACUACUAUCUUGAUGGUGACAUACAAUGGAAGGUGAAUCUGAAUUCUGCACAUUCUACUUACAAUUAAUAGCAAAUUACACGUACAUUAUGCAAAAUUUGGGAAUAUUGUACACUCAAUGAACUGAAGAUGUAUAAUCAAGCUUAACUACUAUGUACUACUUGGUGCAAUUAUACAGCUACUGGUGUUGGUACAGCAGGAGGAACCCUGUUCUCAGCUGGAAUUUCGACAAACUCAGAGAGGAUUGCUCGGAAUUCAUCUCCAGUCAACGUCUCUUUCUCAAGGAGGACUUCAACAAUUUUAUCAAUUGCUUCGCGGUUAUUCCUAAUGUGGAUUAAAGCAACCUCAUACGCAGUAUCUGAAAUUCUCUUGACAGCAGCAUCAAUGUCUUCAGCAAGCUUCUCGGACAUUGAAUUCCUAGCCAUCAUUCGCAUAAUGACGUCGCCACUUUGAGCUGAUGAGUCCAUCAAAGACCACGGGCCAAUAUCUGACAUGCCAAAGGUGACCACCAUCUGCAAAAAAGAUUGAACACCUAAUUUAUUUCCACAGAAGUAGAAAUGUUCAAUGUACAAAUAAUGUAUGUAAAACUACAAAGGAACGUGGCCAAUUGAUUGUUCUAAGAUCAUUCUGAAGUACUUAAAAGUAUUCUAGGAGAAAUCCUUCCAACAGGCGGUUUGAGCUGCCUAAUCCAGUUCUUUGGAAGUUUAGGUAGAGGACUUUGACCAUUCUCUGUGCUUUUCAAUCCCUCAAAACUAAAAGAUUAUAGAAAUUGGCUACAGAACUUGCAGCAUUGUGACUGAUUUGAAAGGAUUCAAAAUGAUUGUUGAAUUCCUCAAAGAAGUCUAGCCACCAUAGAAUGAUAAGUAAAGAAAAAUGUUUGAAAAGAGGAAAGACUGAUACACCUGUUUGGCCAAACCAGUAAUCUGAUACAAAUCACCAGCAGCACCUGUUGUCACCUCAGGCUCGCCAAAGAUCACUUCCUCAGCAGCUCUUCCACCAAGCCCCCCAACAAUUCUAGCAAAGAGUUGCUGCUUGGAGAUCAAGGUUGGGUCAUCUGCAGGAAUAAACCAGGUCAGACCCCGAGCCUGACCACGUGGGACUAGGGUGACCUUCUGAACAGCAUCAUGCCCUGGAGUGAGAGUUCUGGAUAAUAACAAACUUGAGACAUUAGUCUAGACUCUAGAGUCUGUAUAAACAAUUCUACUUGAUCUUACCAAAAAAAAAAAAAAAGGAAUCGGCUCCAAUCAGGUAGAUAUCAGGAAGAUCACAAUUUUCUUAGAUCUUAAUCCACACAUCUCUCAACAGCAUUAAGUUAAUCCAUUCAUGUCUAAUGACUUGAUUUGCAUACUUGAAAUCUCAUGUAAAACUAACACCAAGCCACCAACUAGAUCUAAAGAAUUUUAUCCUAUAUUGUUCAACUUGUGUGCUUCUUUGUGAAUCAGAAGUGAAGCAAGGAUAUGAGCUCAAAAUGCAUAGAUUCAGAACUGAGCAUGAAAAUCAGCUAAUGAUUGUGAAAAAUCUGAAGAAGUCGAGCUCCAGUAAAUACUAUCAUGACUAUCAUCACAUAGAAAUAGUGACUAAAGCUCAGUAUCAAGGACAGAUCUUAGGAAAGUGCCAAACCAGGGAUGCAAGUUCAAAAUACUGGAAUGUCUUAAUCUCUAAUAACAUACGCAGGUCCCCAACCCCAUUUCCAGUAAUAUGAGAAAAAAUGAAAAAUCAUUCACUUCAUAGAAUCCAUAAAGUUUGACUUAAGGCUUAAUUGUUCAGGUGCUGAAUACUGAUUACAAGAGGCAGCAGGGUGAAAAGUGAUAAUUAAUAUAAAAAACAACUUGCCAAAGUUUGUAUUCCACCAGACUGUAGACUUAAUAACCAUGGGAGGAUGUAAGCUUUAGCCUUAAUUUUAUUUAUCUAUUAUUUUUUUUCAAAGAUGACUUGUCAGGAUAAAAUACCUCGAAUUAAUUAAGACAAGCUUGACAAUCUCAAAACUUACCCACAGACAGCAUGCCCAACUUCAUGGUAUGCAACCAGACUUUUGCUCUUGCCAUCAGUCAUAACUGUCCCUUCCAUUCCUGCAACUAUUCUAUCAAUUGAAUCGUCAAUCUCUUUUGAUGAGAUUGCUGCCUUCCCACGUCGGCCAGCCAAGAUAGCAGCCUCAUUUAAGAGAUUAGCAAGAUCUGCUCCACUAAAACCAGGUGUUCUCAUGGCUAUCACUUCAAGAGACACAUCUGAAUCAAAUUUUUUAUUGCUAGCAUGAACUUUUAGAAUUUCUGUUCUUCCCCGAAUAUCUGGUACAUCAACGGUUACCUGUGCAAGAGCACAAAAUUAAAUAUUUUCCAUUAAACAAGUAUUUUCCAUUAAACCUCAGUUUGAGGAGUGAGAAUCACUGAAGAAGCUAUACCUGUCUAUCAAAACGACCUGGUCUCAACAGGGCAGAGUCAAGAAUGUCAGGACGGUUAGUAGCCGCAAUUACAAUAAUGCCAGUGUUUCCUUCAAAACCAUCCAUUUCUGUCAAAAGCUGGUUGAGGGUCUGUUCUCUUUCAUCAUUGCCUCCUCCAAUGCCAGUUCCUCUUUGCCGCCCAACAGCAUCAAUUUCAUCAACAAAUACAAUGCAUGGAGCGUUCUCCUUUGCUUUCUUGAAAAGAUCACGGACACGAGAGGCACCGACACCAACAAACAUCUCUACGAACUCUGAACCUGAAAUCGAGAAAAAUGGAACACCCGCUUCACCAGCAAUUGCUUUAGCCAGGAGGGUUUUUCCAGUACCCGGGGGACCAACAAGAAGGACCCCCUUAGGGAUACGAGCUCCCACGGCAGUAAACCUUUCAGGCUUCUUCAAGAACUCCACAACCUCCAUAAAAUCUUGUUUUGCUUCAUCCACCCCUGCAACAUCAUCAAAGGUCACACCAGUGUUUGGUUCCAUUUGGAACUUGGCUUUUGAUUGACCAAAGGCCAAUGGAAAACCAGGCCCACCAGGACCACCCAUCCCUCCAGAAGAUCGCCUUGAAAGUAGGAAUAGACCUCCAAUCAAGAUCAGUGGGAAGGCCAAGUUUCCAAUCAAGUUGAACAACAAAGAACCAGAGUCCUCUUGAGCAUUGUGAGCAGCAAAGUCAAUGUUUUUUUCUCUAAAUUUCUGAAGAAGCUCUUGUGGAAGUCCUGGAAGUUGCACGCGAACUCUCUGCACCCGGUUACCCAACUCAGGGGAGAUUGCCUCAACAAUAGCAAUAGUUCCAUUUUCAUAUAGAUCUACUCUCUUCACUCUAUCCUUGUCCAAAUACUCCAAAAAUCUAGAAUAAGACAUCCUUGAAUUAGAAACCCCUUGCUCAUCGGCAUAAGCUUUUCCAUCAUUAAGUAAUGCUGCUCCACCUAAUCCUACAUUUCCCAGCAACAGUUUCAGGAAGCCUCUCCUCCCUUCAUGUGAUCUCUGGUCAAGGGAUGAUUUUACUAUGAUGAAUUUAGAUCUUCUACUCAGUGAUGGGAGGUUUGAGGAUAAGCAAAGCUGCCUGCCAUAUAUUUCUUUGCUAAAACCAGAAUGGGAAGAUAGACCAUUUCCUACUACAGAUACCGAUGAUACUGCCAUCUGUAAGAGAAGCAUAGGAAUGAAAACAGAAACUACUAAGUAUAUACACCAGAAACUGAUUUGAUUACAAGAAGGUCCAACUAAUAUUGCUAAAACAGAAUUAUCCAUAGCAGGGUGCCCAGUUUGCCGUUACUACAACUAGAGGAUUGAAAUAUUUGUACCUUAAAAGCUCGCUCAACUGAUAUAUUAUGAUUCCAAGAUGAUGGAUCUUACUGACGUUAAAGCAAAACGAGGCAAUACUUGAGCUUAUCAUAUACAAUUAUCAACUUCCGCUCACAGUAUCAUUUCAUUUUGUAAGCUUUAGCAAUAUUGAAAAAUCUCACAUCAGUAGUACUACAUGCAAUACUUAGAAGUUGAGUUGCCACUUGAUUUAAUUGCUUACAUUACUAGAAAGAAACUAAACAAUUUUUUUUUAAUUUCUUCAGAACUGAAUUAAAAAGGUACUAAAAAAAGCUAGAAUAUCGCGCACCAAAUAAGUCCAUUCAUCUAAAUCUUCAAUAUCCACAACUUUAGUAUAACAAUUGACUGGAUACCAAAAUUGAGGAGAAGUCCUGAAUUUAACCAACCAAAUAAAAGCUUACACAUUCACUCCUUAUUAUUUAUGAAACUAAAGCAGCUUGAAAAAAAAAAGGAGAAAAGACAAGAACUCUACAUUGGUUCUUCCUACAUUCCAGCUUAACCCAAAAAAAAAAAAAAAAAAAGCUCAAACCAUAGCCAACGGAAUUAUCCUAGCGGCAGUAUGCUAAAUCAACCGACCAUGUUUUCCAUCCAGCACUCAAAGACACCAAACAAAAAUAUUGAAAUAGGAAAACUCAACAUUUAAAAUCCAAAAUUUCUCUUUUUCUUCAAAAGCCCAUUUUGCAAAAUCAAUAGAUAGAGCAAUAUCCUUUACCUAUCCAUAUGUGCUAUACUCACUUAUAUAAAGAGUUGCCUGCGUCAAUAAGCCACUAAUCCACUAACCAAUCGAAAAGUUCUUUACUUUCACUUAAUUCUCAACAAUUCUAGCACAAACAUUGAAGGAUGCAAGAAACAAGACUCAAACUUUAGUAAUCCCAACCAACAAGAAACAACAGAGCUAAAUUUCACAAAUCAAUAACCCGCAAGCGCAAAAAAUCAAGAAAUAAAAACAAAGAAAUUCUGAGAAGAUUGAAAUACCAGUCAGGUAAAUGGGCUGUAGGACUUCGGAGUAGUAGGAGGAGGAAAGAAACUGACUAUUGAGAGAGGGAAGCAAUCGUUAAAGAAGGACUUAAAGAAAAUGGAUGUGGUUUGGAAAACGUAGACGUGGCACUAUUUCAGUUGCUGAUUGAUUUGUCUACAAUUUCUUUUUUUUUUUUUGAAGGAAUUUGUCUACAAUUUCCACAUUGCAAAGAUUUUUUUUCCUUGUUUGGCAUUUUCUUCAAGACUUUAUAUCUGCCCCAUGUUUUUUCUUCUGAGCCGUCCUUGACUUCAAUCCCUUUUUUAUUUCAGUCCUGAAGUUUAAGAUAUAACGCUGGAAAAAAGAGCUAUCUGGGACCAAAGACGUGUUUUUUUAAAAAAUUAAUCUAAAUAAGGGUAAUUCUAAGGUCCAGGGCCCUGUUUUGGACACGGGGAUCCAUUUUCUCCACUAUCACAAUUUGGAUUAUAGAGAAAAUUAAAUGUGGGAGGUGGACAAGUUUGAAAUUUGACUGGUGGGUAUUAAUUUUGGGCACAUAUUUUAACAAGUAAAAAAAUUUGCUAUGUUUUUUAAUGUCUACAUCACUUGUUUUAGUGUUUAUUUUUGUUGUAUUAGUAUUUACAUUGUAUCAUGCAAUUGCCACUAUCAGUUGUUUUAGUGUUCUUUCAGAACCUUAAGCAAAUAAUUGGAUGCUUAUCUUUUUUGUGUGUUCGUGAUUGGAUUAUGAAAUCUUAAUUAAGCACCAGAAGUGAAUGGACCCCUUUUUUCUUUUCUGCCAACUAGCAAAGCAACAGAAUCAAUAAUUAGUUUUCUGGCCUCCCCUGUUUCCUUUGACAUGUAGAGAAGUGCAAGCAUUGAGUUCCAGUUAGUUAGACAGAUGAAUCUGAUUUCUUGAUCCGCAGAUGUGAAUGUGUGAAAAAAUCCAGUGCAUUUUCACAUUGUUCCAGAUGGGAUUUUCAGAAACAAUGAAACAUCAGUGACUGCUGACUGAUUGGUCCUGGUAAUUCUGUUAGCUCUUUGGUAAACUAUCUGCAUUGAUCGUAUUCAAGGAUUGGCCAGAUGCUGUCACAUAUGACUCAUAUAUGAGGUACUUGCUAUAGAAGUGUCUCUAGCUGUUUGUUUUUCUUUCUGAACCAGGGGAUUCGUGCAACUCUCUGGAACUCAACUGGAACAAUCUUUGAACUGUAUAAUUUGCAGAGCUUAUGUCUCAAUUGAUUUUCAUCUAAAUGGAGACACUACUCAAAUACUACUAAAGAAUCUUAGAAAUUUGGAAAAGAGCUUCGACUAGAAUCUGAAGCACAAGGAAAAAUGGACAGGGGAAAUUAAUCCAUUUCUAGUCAAUCAAUCCAAGUUCUACCUAGUCUUGCCUGGAAAAGUAAAUGCAUCCUAGCUAGCAUCAGGCCGCUGCAGAUUUCUGAUGCAAAAUGACACCAUUCUAUGAUUAUGGGAAAGAGUGAACUGCUUAAUUUUUGUAAUGGAAUAUUAAAGUGUUGAUUGGUUGCAUCUUUUGGAGCUUCUAGCAUAGCCAAUUGUUUCUCAACUGACAAAUUAUUGCAGGUUGGUUAUAUCAAGAAGCACUAGGCAGAGCUCCUUGGAAGAAAAUAGUUACAGAGCCAUCCCCAUCCUCAUCCUAAUGGAAAUAUCAGGGUGUUGCAUGCCUAGUUUCAGUUUUCAGUUUUAGAACCCUAAUCCUGUGAGCAGUGAUCGUAACUCGACAAAACAAGCAAAUAUGGAAGAAAUCACAUCGCAAGCAUUAGGCAAUCCAGAGAGAAAGCGGAUAGGAUUCUCCAUCCCAAGAAAAGCACACCAUGAGGUUAAAUUUGAUUUGUUACUUCCACCAAAAAAUACAGUAAAAAAUUAUGUUGAACAAGCAUAAAAUCAGAUGGCAGCCCAAAAGGCCAAAACUCACCGGAAACUCAUUCACUGUGGAAAGUGCAACAAAGUGCUUGAAACUGUGUUUUCUUGAUUUUUAGUAGUCUUUUUUACAAGAUAAUUCAUUCUAUCAACUGAACAGCAGCUAUUGCAGGUAUCUUUUCUCUCAACUUUUGUGUUAGAGCUACUCGGACUGUCAUUACGCCUGCUGCAGGGCCACUUAACCGAACUUUCACCACGUAGUCAUUAAUCUGAACGAGCUCCAGUUCUCCACCACCUGUGCCAGCCAGAUAGGGUCUAAUCUCUGAAAGAACCUGCAUAAUUUCAAAGCCUACCUCUCUUAGCAGCAAUGACUAAAGACUCCUUUAAUCAAUCACAGACGCAAGAGUACCUAAGAGAUGGACUAAAGAAAUAAAAACAUUCAAAACGAACAUUAAUCAGGUUAUUUGCACAAUAUGUGAUGUUCCAGAGUUCCUGAGAUGCAUGGAACUUGAAAGCAUAUGAAUUUCAUACGGCUUCUAUGAAGAUUAGGCAGAAUUCAGUUCCAAAGUAACAUAAAGACUCGUGUAAAAUCACAACCAAUCAACUCAAAUGCAAUCCUAAGAAGAGAGCAGUAGACUACAUAUGUGGAGGCUAGGAGGCUUAGAUUUCUCUAUGUGAGAAUAAUGAUGGGGGAAAAAGACGAAAAUCACAUUUCUCACCAAGGAAAUAGUUCAAAUGAAAGAGCUGCACACUAUCAGCAAUGCAGCCAACUAGCUAACUUGAUUGGCUGACAAGUAAUAAGGCAUAGUUUUGCAGUAUUGGUUUGACAAGAAAGAAGACAAUUUUACAAGUAGGCCAAUUUUUUCUUUAUAUCCAACAGAUGUGAAAUCCAUUCAUUCUUUCAGGUCUCCACCGCAAACAUAUAAGAAUAUCAUUAGCAACAGCAAUAAAUUUUCUGUGAGUUAUGACAACAGAAUUAUUUUUUUCUUUUGUUUGGUGGGAAUAUAAAAUGCAGGUGAUUGGAUAAAUGUCCAUAAACCAGAAGGUCCGGAACAAUAUUGAAACACACAGUGAAUUUGUUGCUCUAUCUUAGCUUAUUGUCAAUUACCUUCUCAACGUUCUCCUCAUUCAAUUCAAGGCCAGUUUCCGUAUCAACAAUCUGUUCCACUUCUAGUAUUUCUGGAAUCUUAUCACGAAGCCGAGUUUCAAUCCCCAUCUUCAGUGUCAUUGUUGAACUAGGACAAGACCCGCAUGCUCCUUGUAGCUUUAAUACAACCACAAGACCAUCAAUCUCAUGUAAGGCUACGUUUCCUCCAUCAGCCAUUAGGCCUGGCCUUACUUCAUCCAAUACCUUCUCAACAUUCUCCUCAGUAAGUGGCAGUACACAACUAGGUGAAACCACAGUCCCUUCAACAUCAGUAAACGAAGAGUUAAUAGAACAGUUCGAUCAUCCUCGCCGAAGUUGUUCAAAGGACAAUAUAAUUUUUUGAAUCUCUUAUUUACCUGCAUGCUUUCUAUGUCUUUGAUUUGAAUUGAAACCAAGCAAGUGCCCAGUUUUGAAUUGCCCUCUUAGAAAUGAAGAUUGUUUUGAUGCAAAUGAGCAGCCAUCCGAGCAGGGAUUCUUCAGAAUUUCCAAGAAGUAACAGAAAAAUAUCACAUUAGUAAGCCAUAAUUUGAUACUUCAAGGAAACUGAAUAUGCAAGAUCAUGUUCGUAUUCCAAACGGUUGAUUAUGGAAGUAAAGUUUAUACCUUGAGGAGGGAUAAACAGGCAGGAGAGGAAUGCUGUGAUGAAUGGUGUGUUAUUAAUGAGGUUGGUAUUGGUUUGAGAAAAUUGGUUUGGGAGUUGGCACCAGAGAAUGCAUCCAUCAUGUGCUAUCCUUUUCAGAAUGCAAAGAUGAGAACUCCCAUUUCAGUUUGUUUGAUGAUUUACAGAACAAAAUACUCCCUUUUGACAGUAGUUCAGUAGGAAGUGGCAUUUGUGCGUUAGGGAAAGAAUCUUCUAAGUGAUUGAGAACAUCUUGAUUGGCUGAUGAGGGAAAAAGAUCGAAGAAAAUUUCAGCUGGGAAGUGUUUUGAGAGUCGAGGUUCUCACACCAGUUUGUAUGGAUAGAAUCUGAGCUUAAUCGCCACGUCAAGAUUUUAAUCUAGGGGCGAUGUGAAGCCACGUCAAGAUUUUAAUCUAGGGUCGAUUUAAAGCCACGUCAAGAUUUUACUUACUGAAACGUUAAACAGAUCUAGGAGAAAACAAAAAAAAAAAAAAGGAAAAUUACAAAAGCCCAAAAAGGAAAACAGAGAAGGACAAACCUUGGAAAAUCUUGGGUUUCAAAAUGAUCUUGGGUUUCAAAACCCCUUCAAAAUCUGAUUUUGGGAUCUUGAAGCAGUGCCAUGCGCUUAUCAUUCUCAUAGUAAAGAAAGAAGAAGGGAUAAUUUCAGAAACCUCCCUUGAUGUUUUUAACAAUUUUACUUAACUUCCCUCAAGUUUAAAAAAUUACACUUACCUCCCUUGACAUAGUAAAAUACAUAUAAUACCCUCCACUUAGUAGACAAUUUUAAAUUUAAGACAAUAAAUUUACAAAAUAAAAAAAAAAAAUCUAUUUUUCUAUCUCUCGUCUAUCUUUCGCUCCUCUCUUUUCUAGUUAAUAUAACCUCUUUUUAUUAUUUUUAAUUUUGUGGAUGUUAGAAAAUUGAAAUUACAAAAUCAACAGAGGAAGUAGAUUAUGUGUCAAAUUAGAAGGAAAUAAAGAGACUCGCAGUGAUGGAGAAAUAAAUAAUGAAAUAAGAAGAAAAACUAAAGAUGUGAAAUUUGUCAUAUUUUGUUUGUUAUCAAGAAAAACUUUUAUAAAUUGUCAAUAAUUACAUAAGGACUUCUUUCAUUGGAUUAGAAAUUUUUUAUUUUGACUUUAUUGUGGAGGUAGCAUUUAUUCUUUACUUUUGAAAUAUUAAUAUUUUUAAGGCCAUAGAAGAGUUGUAAUGGUGUUUUUAUGUCAGAUUAACAUGUAUUAAAAACGUAUUUGAGUAUUGAUAUUUAAUUUUGGAGGUAUAAAAUUGAUUGUCAAUAGGAUUUGUGUGUGUGUUUUCUUUUUUUUUUUUUUGCAUCGCAAGUAUUGAUACUAUAUAUGCAAUUUGGAAUCUUUUAGACGGCUAUUUGGUUUUAGAAUUUAUGCUUGGAUGGUUGUUAGAGAUUAGACUUGUUGAUUUGGGUAAAGUGUGGAAGAGAAUGAUUGAGUAUACUAUAUUUUACUUUCUUAAUUUUGUACAAAAGCGUAAUUUAGGAUUUUUGUGAGAAAAUCUAUCUUGUUGGACCUACAUUGUGACUAAACAGUAAAAGUAGGGGAGGUAUAUGUAAGUUUUAAAACCUGGGAAAGCUCUGUGUAAUUGUUGAAAACCUCAGGGGAGGUUUGUUAAAUUGUCCCAAAAAAGAAUUAUGUAGAGUAGCAUGCUGCAAAUAGGAUUCAGUUUAGGCCAGGGCUAAACAGGAAAUGAAGCCUAGGUUGCAGGUUGCCGAUUUUGGAAUUCUUGACGACAAUGGAUUAACUUCGUGCAACUAUCUCCCUGGAAAAACAACCAUUCCAGCAAAGCUACUUUUGCGGAUUCGUUUCAAUUUGUCUGAUGGAAACUGGUAAAAACUAGUUAGCCUCUGUUAAUAAUGUUCCACAAGGCUCACUUGGUUCGUGCGAAUUUCUUUGUUAAUGUGUUUUUUGGCCUUUAGUUAUUUUUUUCUUUAUGUAAUUUCUAACUCCUCCAUUCCCUUUUUUUUUGUGGUAUUUUUAUGAUGUUUUCUGCAUAAUCUCUUUGCUCAAGUACAGCAUCCACAUUUUCUUUACUUCAUUUGCAAUUUCAUUUUGCUCAAUUGGUUGGUGGGAAACUUGGGAUAAGUAUAUGUAAUAGCUUGUGACCUUUAUUUGGAUCAGACAUUAACAUCUGUGCAUGAAAGUAACAUAGUGCGAAUCACAAUAAAGUACCGUGCAACUACCACUCUUUGCUGCCCGAGUUUUUCUUUGAUGGAAUCCAUUCCUCAUUCGCAAACUUCUUGUGGUAGAGGAAUUAUCCCAUUUGCAUCCACUGAGUCUUAUUUUGCUUCGGUUCUUCACAUUUGUUACCAAACGACUAUCUAUAUUCUGUACACAAAUAUUGUAAUUUCUUCAAUGUAUUGUCUUUCUGAAUCACAGAAGGCAGCUCCAGAAAAACAACUUCCCUAACAGUCUGCUCAAACUGGAAAUUUGUCCUUGUUAGGUCAUAUGGUUAAGGAUGGAACUCCACAAACCGCCUCAUGUUUCCAGGUACAAAAGCUUCUUCCAUGGCUCUUAUGAUUGCAACCAGAUCGCUCGCAGAAUGGUCAUUUGCAGUCACAUUGCUAGAGCCAGCUGCAGUUUCUCCGAAUCUUUCACUGAUUGCGAACCUACAAACAGGGCAUCGACCUUCGUUCUUCACCCAAGGAACAAUACAUUCCUCAUGAAACAUGUGGUUGCAAGGAGUAAUCGUAACCAUCUCUUUAGGCUCAAAAUCUUCUAAGCAAAUGGGACACCUCUUACCUUCUUCAUGCUUCUCUUUUUCUAGUUCUUUGGAUAUAGUAAGUGGGCUAUCUCGGUAGUACAGAUUUGGUUUCCUUCUCGACAAUUUUGUCAUGGGAUUAUAUGCUUCUUUCUUCAGCCUGUUCAAGACUCUCUUUUGCUCUUCUUGGGAUAAUUUGGACCCGUCUUGGGGGCCUUGCACACUCGGUUGCGGCUGAAAAUUUGGCAAAGCAAUAGCUGCAGGUGGCCAUGGUAUUGUGUUUCUUGUUGUGUCACUGUUGAAGUAUUGAGUUUGAUUCUGCAAAUGUGGUGGGGCUGGAAAACUGCAAGUCAUUUUAUUAGUUUUCGCACACUAGGAUUUCAAAAAUAUAUACCUGAUUCUUUUUUAUCCAUUCACAAAUUUGAGAUUUGGCAUCGUAUCUAUAAACUGGAAACGAAUGAUACAAACGAAGAAAAUGGUUAUAGGACUAAUCCAUUCCUCCUAGCUCUUAAGUUGGACUAGUGUGAAAAUUAAGGGACGCUUUCUUCCCCGUCCCCCUCGCCUCCCUUCUCUCUUCAAUCUAAACAACAAUACUCUAUGCUUCCUGAAUAUCCCACACAAUCAUCAUGUCCUUGCAUCAUCAGUUGGUAAUUAAAAGAACAUCAAACGGACAUAAUCAUCAGAACUGGCAUGCAUUCCAUCCUUAAAUACGCUAGAAGAAAUGUAGGGUUUGAAAUUGAAGGAAAUAAACAGAUUUUUCUAUCUUUUCUUCAAGCUAGCUCCACUUUACAUUCUGUUAUGUUUAGUUAACAAGUGUUUCUGAGCAAGCCCUUUUAAUGAAAUUUCAUUUUUUUUUGGAUUGCUCAUAUCCAGGCUGCUACUUAAUAUGCGGUAUACACUUGUGAUUUCAUUAUUUGAUACAUAUACUGGUGUGCUUUAGUCUAUGAUUCUUGGAAAACAAUUUUGACCUUACAUUCAGGUGAAACUUUGGUGUCAUUAGUAAAUGUAUUUAAGAUGGAACCAGGAUAAAAUUUGUUGCUGUAACUGGGCUCCUACUUCUUCAGCUGGAUUGGAAGAUGUGAUUAUGUUCCAAGUUUCAGUGUUGUACAAGUUCCCCGCACCCAGAGGGGGGAAGGGAACUGGAAUCAAAAUCAAAUCUUGAUGAUAACUAUUGUUUUUCAUUUCUUUUACUUUCUUGUAUGGCAUCUUUUGGAAUUGUCCACAAAGAUUUGGCAAGAGCUCAUGUGACAGUAAUUUGUAUAUUAGAGUGAAUAGGCAUGGAUAAGAAUUGUAACUUGAAGAUAAGGAUGAUUGUAUGCUAUCUCCCUUUUCCAGAAAAUGGGAAGCCCUUUUGUACUUUUAUUUGUUCUCAAGGUCCUAGGUUGGUAAGAUAAACAGUUCAAUCCCAGAAAAAGACCAGUGACCAUUCAAGGCAGUUUUGCCUUGCAAAGAAACUUCGUACAGCUUAGAUUUAUCAUGUUCCUACUUCAGCAUAGAUCUUCUAGUUAUGUAUUGUUGGAAAGAGAUUAUCCUGGGAAGUGAGGUUGUGCAGAAAGAAGAACAAAUUUACCUGGAUAUGCCAAGAAAUCCACCGGGAUUGCUUACCCCAAACAGCAACCGUGGAUCAGGAUCUCCUCCUCUGCGAUCCUGUUUCAUAUGAAAAAAGACUGAUCUGAUAUGUUCCUGGAAAUAAAUUAUCGAAUAUGAUGCACCAAUUACUUUCUUAGACAACAUAUCAAUAUGCUGAAGACUAACCAGAGGACCUCCUGCAGGUGGAGGAAACAAGGAGGACAAUCCAUUCCUGCUACUAGGUCUAGCCGAAUAUCCACCAUAAUCCAGCCCAGUUCUCAGGUAUUCUGGUGGCGUGUAAUUCUGGUUACUUCCGUUCAUAGAGUCUGUCAGCUGACGCAGAAAGGAAAAUGACUUACAACGGAGGAAAUUUCCCAGUGUUUGUAACUUUCCUGCCUUAUUACAUCUUUUUAAGUUCUCUUUGUAAAUUUCCUUUUUUUGGCAGAUGUGAAAUAUGAUUCUGUGUCCAUUUAGUUGAUCCUGUAAUUGGUGGCUUGGUGAGAUGCAUGAGAUAUGAAGCAAGGAAUCCUGUACCUUCACGCAGCUUGAUUACUUUUUCUUCCCUUGUUUUCUUGUCUGAAUGGAAUCUGAAUAAAUAGAGCAACUACGGGGAUUAGUGUAAAGCUUAAGGCCGCAAGGUGGAAUUUCCUCAUGGAACCUUGCCACAUUUGAUGCUUCACGACAGAAUUAGGUCUCUCCAGGUCCAGGUAGCUGAGCCAUGAAUGUGACAGGAAUCAAACAAACUAAUGAAAUAUAGCACAAUGAUCAAGUGCCUAUUUGUCUCAAAACAGGGAUUGAAAGACUCUUUGUUUUCAUUCAUCAUCUCUUGUUUCCUUCCAUAGAAAGCUUCAUGGACUUUCCCUUAUGAGAAGGAUGUAAAAUUUUGUUUAACUUAUCAACAUAAUCUGUUUGCACUUUCGGUUGAUUGUAACUUUUCCAUCCAAACUACACAAGCUAUAAUCACCAUGACACUGACCUUUCAGAGGACAGAGAUUGUUGCAAGUACAAUGCAUAUUAUCGAGUUAAAAUUUGCGGAGCUAGCAUCAUAAUGGAGAACAGCGAUUGCAUCCUCGCAAACAGAAUUGCACAAAUGUAAAGUAGACUCACGAACCAAAGCAUUAGGCAAUGACAAUCCCUUGAACACCUCAUCACUCAAACCAAAGGCCAUUAUCAAAUUCUCCGUGCUAUUCUCCUCCUCUAUAUUGAAUCUGUAACCAACCCAAUGCACCUUUCCGUUAACAAAUGCAUGAGUCCAGAAGUGUGGAAUCACCGCUUGAGGCAAAUUAGCAGCAAUCACCCUCCAAUUACCUACACGUAGUGCAAAAACUUCUGCUAUAGAAGGCAUAAUAUCCCCAUGACUCUGUUCAGCAUAAGCAAUUCUCACGACCUUAAAAUCACUGUUUUUUAUGUGACAUCCAAAUCCUAACAAGGAGUACAUACUAGGCCAAAAGUUUUUACAACUUGCUCGGGGCAAAGGAAGAGUGAUUUUUCGCUUGAUGAAAGGGUUGCACAGCAUAAUAAGGUCAUGUAUCCAAAAACAUCAUCAGACAAACAUAGUAACCCAUUGCUAUAAUCCACAAUCCUGAAAUAAUACUGCACUAACUGGCGAAAAGGGAAGAAUAUUUUGACCUCAUUUUCCCCUGUGAAGUCCUCAUUUUCGUGGUAUACUGAGUAACGUUCAGUCCGUCGGUGUUUGCAGUAGCGCCUCACAAGCAUUCUAUCAUCUGGGGUGGAGGAUUUUUGAGAGAGAAGCAUGAUGGGUGUGCAUGGAGACGAAAUGAAGGCUUCAGAUCAAAGAUUUCCAUGACUUAGCUACGCACCUCAGUCUCAGGAGGGUUUUCGCAGGAACCCUUCUGAGGACAUGAACUAAAACCUCUUCAGGGAAGUAAUCUGACAUUUUUUAUGAGAAAUAGAAAUGUUAAAAUAAAAAGAAAUACUGCUUUUUGGUUUUUUUUCCCCUGUUUCUUUCGGUAGGAAGGAAAAAAGGAUAUUUGACUGUAGGAAGCUUGGAAUUUUUCCAAGCCAGGAUUAUGAAGAAUGGUUUUUUCUGGUUGUCAUGGUGAUUUUAUAUCAGAUUAGCAUGUAUUAAAAACGUAUUUGAGUAUUGAUAUUUAAUUUUGGAGGUAUAAAAUUGAUUGUCAAUAGGAUUUGUGUGUGUGUGUGUUUUCUUUUUCUUUUUUUUUUUUUGCAUGUCAAGUAUUGAUACUAUAUAUGCAAUUUGGAAUCUUUUGGACGGCUACUUGGUUUUAGAAUUUAUGCUUGGAUGGUUGUUAAGGAUUAGACUUGUUGUUUUGGGUGAAAGAAAAUGAUUGAGUAGACUAUAUUUUUCUUUCUUAGUUUUAUACAAAAGGGUAAUUUACGAUUUUUGUGAGAAAAUCUAUCUUGUUGGACCUACAUUGUGACUAAACAAUAAAAAUAGGGUAGGUAUAUGUAAUUUUUAAAACUUGGAGGAGCUCUCUGUAAUUAUUGAAAACCUCAGGGGAGGUUUGUUCCAAAAAAAAUUAUAUAGAGUAGCAUGAUGCUAAUGGAAUUCAGUUUAGGCCAGGGCUAAACAGGAAAUGAAGCCUAGGUUGCAGGUUGCAGAUGUUGGAAUUCUUGACGACAAUGGAUUAACUUCGUGCAACUAUCUCCCUGCGAAAACAACCAUCCCAGCAAAGCUAAUUUUGUUUGCACAGGAAAAGCGGAUUCAUUUCAAUUUGUCUUAUGGAAACUGGUAAAAACUAGUUAGCCUCUGUUAAUAAUGUUCCACAAGGCUCCCUUAGUUAUAUUUUUUCUUUAUGUAAUUUCUAACUCCUCCAUUCCCUUUUUUUUUGUUGUAUUUUUAUGAUGUUUUCUGCAUAAUCUCUUUGCUCAAGUACAGCAUUUGCAAUUUCAGUUUGCUCGGUUGGUUGGUGGGAAACUUGGGAUAAGUAAUAUGUAAUAGCUUGUGACCUUUAUAAUUGGAUGGGACAUUAACAUCUGUGCACGGAAGUAACAUACUGCGAAUCACAAUAAAGUACUGUGCAACUAACACUCUUUGCUGCCCGAGUUUUUUUUUGAUGGAAUCCAUUCCUCAUUCGCAAACUUCUUGUGGUAGAGGAAUUAUCCCAUUUGCAUCCACUGAGUCUCAUUUUCCUUCGGUUCUUCGCAUUUGUUGCCAAACGACUAUCUAUAUUCUGUACACAAAUACUGUCAUUUCUUCAAUGUAUUGUCUUGCUGAAUCACAGAAGGUAGCUCCAGAAAAACAACUUCCCUAACAGUCUGCUCAAACUAAAAAUUUGUCCUUGUUAGGUAAGGAACUCCACAAACCUCCUCAUGUUUUCAGGUACAAAAGCUUCUUCCAUGGCUCUCACGAUUGCAGUCAGAUCGUUCCCAAAAUGGUCAUUUGCAGUCACAUUGCUAGAGCCAGCUGCAGUUUCUCCGAACCUUUCACUGAUUGCGAACCUACAAACAGGGCAUCGACCUUCGUUGUUCACCCAAGGAACAAUACAUUCCUCAUGAAACAUGUGGUUGCAAGGAGUAAUCGUAACUAUCUCUUUAGGCUCAAAAUCUUCCAAGCAAAUGGCACACCUCUUACCUUCUUCAUGCUUCUCUUUUUCUAGUUCUUUGGAAAUAGUAAGUGGGUUAUCUCGGUAGUACAGAUUUGGUUUCCUUCUCGACAAUUUUGUCACGGGAUUAUAUGCUUCUUUCUUCAGCCUGUUCAAGACUUUCUUUUGCUCUUCUUGAGAUAAUUUGGACCCGUCCUGGGGGCCUUGCACGCUCGGUUGCGGCUGAAAAUUUGGCAAAGCAAUAGCUGCAGGUGGCACACUCGGUUGCAGCUGAAAACUUGGCAAAGCAAUAGCUGCAGGUGGCGAUGGUAUUGUGUUUCUUGUUGUGUCAAUGUUGAAGUAUUGAGUUUGAUUCUGCAAAUGUGGUGGGGCUGGAAAACUGCAAGUCAUUUUAUUAGUUUUCACACACUGAGAUUUCAAAAUUAUGUACCUGAUUUUUUUUUUAUCCAUUCACAAAUUUGAGAUUUCGCAUCGUAUCCAUAAACUGGAAACGAAUGAUACAAACGAAGAAAAUGGUUAUAGGACUAAUCCAUUCCACCUAGUUCUUAAGUUGGACUAGUGUGAAAAUUAAGGGAUGCUUUCUUCCUCGUCCCCCUCGCCUCUCAUCUCUCUUCAAUCUAAACAACAAUACUCUAUGCUUCCUGAAUAUCCCACACAAUCAUCAUGUCCUUGCAUCAUCCGUUGGUAAUUAAAGAACAUCAAACGGACAUAAUCAUCAGAACUGGCAUGAAGAGGCAUGCAUUCCAUCCUUAAAUCCUCUAGAAGAAAUGUAGGGUUUGAAAUUAAAGGAAAUAAACAGAUUUUUCUAUCUUUUCUUCAAGCUAGCUCCACUUUACAUUCUGUUAUGUUUAGUUAACAAGUGUUUCUGAGCAAGCCCUUUUAAUGAAAUUUCUUUUUUUUUUUUUUUGGAUUGCUCAUAUCCAGGCUGCUACUUAAUAUGCAGUAUACACUUAUGAUUUCAUUAUUUGAUACAUAUACUGGUGUGCUUUAGUCUAUAAUUCUUGGAAAAAGAAUUUUGACCUUACAUUCGGCUCCUACUUCUUCAGUUGGAUUGGAAGAUGUGAUUAUGUUCCAAGUUUCAGUGUUGUACAAUUUCCCCUCACCCAGAGGGGGGAGGGAACCGGAAUCAAAACUAAAUCUUUAUGAUAACUAUUGUUUUUCAUUUCUUUUACUUUCUUGUGUGGCAUCUUUUGGAAUUGUCCACAAAGAUUUGGCAAGAGCUCAUGUGACAGUAAUUUGUAUAUUAGAGCGAAUAGGCAUGGAUAAGAAAUGUAACUUGAAGAUGGGAUGAUUAUAUGCUAUCUCCCCUUUCCUUAAAAUGGGAAGCCCUUUUGUACUUUUAUUUGUUCUCAAGGUCCUAGGUUGGUAAGAUAAACAGUUCAAUCUCGCUAAAAGACCAGUGACCAUACAAGGCAGUUUUACCUUGCAAAGAAACUUCGUACAGCUUAGAUUUAUCAUGUUCCUACUUCAGCAUAGAUCUUCUAGUUAUGUAUUGCUGGAAAGAGAUUAUCCUGGGAAGUGAGGGUGUGUAGAAAGAAGAACAAAUUUACCUGGAUACGCCAAGAAAUCCACUGGGAUUGCUUACCCCAAAAAUGAACCGUGGAUCAGGAUCUCCUCCUCUGGGAGCCUGUUUCAUAUGAAAAAAGACUGAUCUGAUAUGUUCCUGGAAAUAAAUUAUCCAAUAUGAUGCACCAAUGACUUUCAUAGAUAACAUAUCGAUAUGCCUAACCACAGCAAACGAGGAGGACAAUCCAUUCCUCCUACGAGGUCUAGCUGAAUAUCCACCAUAAUCCGGCCCAGUUCUCAAGUAUUCUGGUGGCGUGUAAUUCUGGUUACUUCCGUUCAUAGGGUCUGUCACAGAAAGGAAAAUGACUCUUACAACGGAGGAAAUUUCCCAGUGUUUGCAACUUUCCUGCCUUAGGUACAUCUUUUAAGUUCUCUUUGUAAAUUUACUUUUUUUGGCAGAUGUGAAAUGUGAUUCUUUGUCCAUUUAGUUGAUCCUGUAAUUGGUGGCUUGGUGAGAUGCAUGAGAUAUAAAGCAAGGAAUCCUGUACCUUCACGCAGCUUGAUUACUUUUUCUUCCCUUGCUUUUCUUGUCUGAAUGGAAUCUGAAUAAAUAGAGCAACUGCGGCGAUUACUGCAAAGCUUAAGGCCGCAAGGUGGAAUUUCCUCAUGGAACCUUGCCACAUUUGAUGCUUCACAACAGAAUUAGGUCUCUCCAGGCCCAGGUAGCUGAGCCAUGAAUGUGACAGGAAUCAAACAAACUAAUGGAAUAUAGCACAAUGAUCAAGUGCCUAUUUUUUUGUCUCAAAACAGGAAUUGAAAGUCUCUUUGUUUUCAUUCAUCAUCUCUUGUUUCCUUCCAUAGAAAGCUUCAUGGACUUUCCCUUAUGAAAAAGAUGUAAAAUUUUCAGUUUGCACUUUCUGUUGAUUGUAACUUUUCCAUCCAAACUACACAAGCUAUAAUCACCAUGACACUGACCUUUCAGAGGACAGAGAUUGUUGCAAGUACAAUGCAUAUUAUCGGGUUAAAAUUUGCAGAGCUAGCAUCAUAAUGGAGAACAGCGAUUGCAUCCUCGCAAACAGAAUUGCACAAAUGUAAAGUAGACUCACGAACCAAAGCAUUAGGCAACGAAAAUCCCUUGAACACUUCAUCGCUCAAAUCAAAGGCCAUAAUCAGAUUCUCCGUGCUAUUCUCCUUCUCUAUAUUGAAUCUGUAACCAACCCAAUGCACCUUUCCGUUAACAAAUGCUCAAGUCCAGAAGUGUGGAAUCACCACUUGAGGCAAAUUAGCAGCAAUCACCCUCCAAUUACCUACACGUAGUGCAAAAACUUCUGCUAUAGAAGGCAUAAUAUCCCCAUGACUCUGUUGAGCAUAAGCAAUUCUCACGACAGGAACCCUUUUGAGGACAUGAACUAAAACCUCUUCAGGGAAGUAAUCUGACAUUUUUGAUGAGAAAUAGAAAUGUUAAAAUAAAAAGAAACACUGCCUUUUGGUCUUUGUUUUUUCCCCGUUUCUUUUGGUAGGAAGAAAAAAAAGAUGUUUUGAGUGUAGGAAAGCUUGGAACUUUUCCAAGCCAGGAUUAUGAAGAGUGGUUUUUUCUGGUUUUAACCUGAGUUUGAGUAAUGGCUAUGAACGAUGGGAACUAAGGCGAAGCUGAAAGGACCAGCUUCGCUCCAGGCUCCCAUCAAACAGUGAAUGAUGAUGACAAAUGUCGCAACAAUAAAGUACUAUUUAUUGCCCCCUUUUCAUCUAGUUUUCCCCAGGUACCUAACAGCACUUUGGAAGGACUCGCAUCGCACGUUCAAGAAUAAAAUAAAGAACUUCUUUUCAGCUACCAAGCACAUUGCGGAAACACUCAUCUCGCAAGUUCAGGCUAACUUGCCAGAGGCCUAGUCUAUUGGAGUGCUGGCUGUUUUCUCAUGCACCAGAACUUUGGGUACGUAUUCAAAUUUAUUAGGAAAUAUUAAUUUCAGGUCCUGAUAUGAGCAUAACCAACCAGCUAAGGCCUAAAACAGUAUCAGAUAACCAUAUGCAAGCACUGCGGUCAUUUCUUUUUAUUUUUAAGAAAAUGACCUUCAAAUCUGAGUAAUGGUAAGAUAAGAGCAAAUGGUUUCCAUCAAAUCUAUUCCAAGAAUGUUUGUAGACGAAAGAAUCAUUACAUAAUUCUGCAAUCUAACAGCAGUAAAAAUGACUCUGCAGUUUAUCUAAUCAGCAGAAGCUGUAGAGCACACAGCAUACUUGAAGAAGAGGAAAGAUGAUAAGAUCUCAAUGAACAAAAACAUAAAGAAAAAUAGAGCUGAUUGAUACAUAAAAUGACCUUCUCAGAUGGUAAUUAUGAAAAAUAUGACGAAUGCCAUGAAUACCGAAAAAGAAAACAUUGCAACUCCAUAAGAAACAGUUCUGGCAGCCUCAAUUUCAGCGUUGAGAACUUAAAAAACCGAGCUUCCAACAUCUGGCUGUGCGCUGGAAGAAGAGUUUAAAUGAAGAUUCUUUUCAAUUAAGUGAUGUGAGAAGCCCCACACUUGUGUUAAGUUCUGGACCAGGAAAUACCCGAAAGGAUCUGCUCAUGAUAAGCUUCUAACUCCAGUAUGAUUCUUGUCAGCAGAAAUCACCUGCUCAUGGUCGAAGACAAGAAGAAAUUCCAGAAUAUAGAUCCCAAGGACAUGAAAGCAACGCGUGCUUGAAGAGGAACCAGCCUGAAAUUUUGACAUGUUAAAGUUGCCAGAACAUUAUUCUAUGGCAUCUCAUUGUGAUAGUUACAGGCUAAUAUAAAAAGUUAAAAGACAUCUCCAUUGCAGAAACUUAAUUUUUUUUAUAAGUAUAGACUGUAUAGUCCACUAUCAGUCUAGCAAAUUAUAAACAGGCGGGAAACUUAUUCAUUGUCAAACAAGUACCUGAUCCCACACAUGCAAAUAUACAACAUUUUCAGCCAUCGAUGAUACUGAAACUGCUUCCCCAUGAGAUCAUCAAAGAUUUUUUUUUUUCCUCUGGUAAUCAAAAAGAGUUGUUUUCUCAGCCUUUUGUCUAAGAUCCAGUGUUAGUAAGUUGGUUUUAGUUUUCAUUUCAAUGCGCGAUAUUACCCUCAGAUGCUAAGAUAUUCUAAUAUUCUUUAAGAGAUUCAUCUCUUUCAUAUUUGGAUCAACAACAACUCAUAGAUUACAACACCAAGAGAUAAAGUAGAGAAUACAUAUGUAAGGGAAAAAAAAAAAAGUCAGUAGUGGUGUUGAUCAAAUUUGCUCGGCUGCACCAAAAUAUCAAAGUUCCCAUAAAGACUGAUCUGAAACAGCAGUUAUUCGGCAAAAAAUUGAAUACUUUGUUGGUCUAAAAACAUGGUGAGAAACUGAUUUUUACCAACAAGGCGCAGGCAAUGGUAGCUUCCUUACUUAAGAGAUGAUUACGAAAGUAAAUAAGCAACAAGAAGUAGAGGUCAGCUAAAGAAGUGAAGUUAGUCCCCUUGAUAUGACGGUAAUGCUUAUAAAAUUCCAGAGCAACUUUGACAUUCACUUAAUUUGCUGGAGUAACUAAAGAAGUGAAGUUAGUCCCCUUGAUAUGAUGGUGAUGCUUAUACAAUUCAAGAGCAACUUUGAGUUUCACCCUUUCUGAAGUAACUAAAUCAUAUAUGGAAUGGUAUUACAAGCUGUCUUCCAUUUUCCUCUACAAGCAUCAUCCCUCAAGCUACAUUACUAUAGUAUAUAAUGAUAAUAUAACUACUAGAAAGUGAAUAAUUCUGUUUGUCAUUAGUAAAAUUUCCUGACAUUAGACCAAGUCCUUAACCAAGAAACUAAUCCUACCAGAUCAAGAAAAACAAAGCAAAUUACAUACCAGAAAUUCAAUAUGCUGACUGGAAUCCAAAACCUAAAUCCUGCAAAGGAAUUACAGUAGUAAAGCAUAAGUACAUACAUGUGCAUAUAACUUAGCAUUUUGCACGCUAGAAAAAGGUUCAUACCAAAAAAAAGAGCAGGAAGAGCAUCUUUCUGAUACUUAUUUGGAAGCUCUGACAGUUUCCCUUGCCACAGAUUGUUCCAUGCAAAAACGACAGCAAUUACAGUUGGACCAAGCACAAUUUGGUUCAGUAUGACCUGCAAGGAGUAACAUUUUCAGGACUUGAAAAUAAUCCAUGAAAUUUGGCUCAGGGAGAACUUGAUCGUAAUACCUACCUUAGCCAAUAAGUUCUCGAAUGUUUGCUUUGGAAUGGUACGAUCAAGGAACUGGUACCAUUCAUAUGUACCCGGGCCAUAUAAUAGAAAGCCAUAGGUAGUCAUUCGGAGGGCACGCAGCCAACCAUGUUCAGAAAAUAAUGCCCCCAAAACACCCUGAUGCAGCAUUCAGCGAAAUAGCAAAAUUGGAAUUUUGUUUCAAAACCAAGAUCAUCAAUAUGCAUUUUCAAUUUAGAUGGUACGAUAUAGAUGUGAAUUCUUCAAGCAUCAAAUGUCCAUUUACCAAUCUGGAAUUUGAUAUGUUACCGCAUUUUUAGAAGGAAAAAUAAGCGAAGAUAAUAAAGAGACUACUAAAACUGAUCUUUAACUUAUUAUGAGCUUACACAAACUAUAAAGAAAUCCUCAAGGAAAACCAAAAGAGCUUACAGGUCAUUGGAGAUGAGAUUAGUAAGUUGCACAUUUUCUCCAAAAAAUCACUACCCUGUUACCAAAUUCACAUUUCUCGAAUAUUGAUCUAAUGCUUAGGAACAUAUGACUUUUUAAGACCAAUUCUGCUUCAAAUUAACAUGAUAAAAUUUUUUUGGUGAGAAAAGUUGAGAUGUUUGCUAAAACCAUACAUAAUAUCCAUUAAGAACCACAUUUUCUAGUAUAUGAUAACAUCAAACAUCUGAACUGACUUACCUUGACCGCUCAAUGAAUAGGUAGUUAUCCACCAUUCAAUUCUCAAAAGAAAAACUACACAUAAAUGGUACAAAAUUUUCAAACUUUGCUAUUGAAUUUUCUAAAUUUCACGUAGCCCAUAUUAAUUUUAUAUAAAGUACAAGAACAAUUCACUUCCAAAAUGGUAAAAAUUCCAGCUUUUCUUGGAUUCGUCCAAAAGUAAGAACUUCAUUAAUAUUAUUAAAGCCCAUUACGAAAAAAGCUUUCUUUUUCUAAUCUACCAGCUUAUGUCAAGAAAAUGAACGCAUAGUGAAAUGUAAACCGUGUGUUCGAAUUUAAAAAAAAAAAAAAAAAAAACUCAUUUGAGUAAAAACUCGAGUAAUGAGCAACCUCGGGAUGCUGAGGGCUGGAAAGGCUUUCUUUAUACUUCACCCAGCGUUGGCUGAGCUGAGCUAUAGUGUCGCCGGUGAGGGCUAGAGAGGCGGCCAUGAAUGCUUGCUUCACCGGGAACUGGUAACCGGUUCUACCGGUUAUAUCAGCUGAAUUAGAUGAGGAUUUUGAUUCUCUGAUGCUUCUUUUUCUUGGACUUCUUCUCCUAUUGUUGUUGAAAUCAUGGAAAUUCAGUUGUCCCAUCCCAAAUGGACCCCAAUUUCCACCACCACCUAACGACCCCAUUCCCCUCGAAUUUACCGAGACGCUAAUCUCAGCCUCAGGUAUCACUUGUACUCGUAGUUCUUAUUCGCCUCAGAACUUUUUUUUUCUUCUCAAUAUAAGAAUUUAUUCUUUGGCCUCCGGCAAUACUAGGCAGGGGAAUAUUGACUAUUCCUUUUCUUUUUCCUUUUUUCCUUGAUCUAGUUAAUGUAGUUAACUACGACUUGAUAAUUCAUUACUUAAUUGGAUCUUUUCUCUAUUUUCUCCUUGGCAAGAGGGAUACUACCUUUUUUUUUUCAGUUCAAGAAAGGCACUACAAAUACAAUGGAAAAAAUUAUUGUGUCCGGUGUUCAAAUACGCAUUUAUUAAGAUAUAUUUCAGGUGUUAUUUUUUUAAAUAUAAAAUUAAUUAAAAAAUAAAUAAAUACAAGAAUGAAUAAUAAUUAUUAAUAUAUAUAUAUAUAUAUAUAUGUGUGUGUGUGUGUGUGUGUGUGUGUGAAUGAUAGGUUAGUUAAUUUUUAGAUACGUUAACGAAGGUUAAAUACACACAUGUUAGGAAAAUCCCAGAAAAAAAUCAAGAAUCAAGGGACACCAUACACGUACAAGGGAAAAAAGCACUUGAAAAUCAAAUCAAGAAUUCCCUAGUUACAAUACUAAUGUUUAUAACAACUGGUCUAAAUCAAAUAACAACGGAACUGAAUCAUGAACACAAAUUUUUAGUUUGUUUAUUAGACCUCUGGGCUCCACUUGGGGCAUUUUAUUUCUUUUUUGUGGUUAAAUUAAUUUGAUUAAAGUAGUUGACAAAGACUUGCAUGUAAUAAACUACUACUAUAUGGAGUGUGUGUGUGUGUGUAUAUAUAUAUAUAUAUAUAUCAUAAUCAACCAGCUCCACGGAACUUGGUAAUUUAAGUACAAGAUCAGGAAGAUAAUCAAGUACUUGAAUUUGAUUGAAUUCAAUGAUCCGAGCUUCAGCUUGAUAAAUUAAUGAAAAGGUUCAAGUCUCCAAUCAUCAUCUGAGUCUAAUCAACUACAACUGCUCUGGCAACAUCAACUUCCCAUAAAAGUCUUCAUUCAAAGAAAACGGGAAGGGCAGUUCAAAGCAAGUGUUGCACAAGGAUCAGCUACCCAGUAGACACAAAAGAC
rnacentral:lncRNA from 1 species